GUAGGUCUGAGGGUACUUGUUGGUGUGCUGCUGCUCUUUCUCUGACUCAGCUGUAUAUGGCAGGUUGUUGUUGUUGGUGGUGAAUUGUGCACCAUUGGUAGUGGUGUAGGGUGCACCGGUGGUUGUGGUGGUGUAGGGUGCACCGGUGUUUGUGGUGGUGUAGUGUCCAACGGUGUUUGUGGGGGUGGGAGGCAGCUGGCCAGACCCAUGGCCAUAGAGACCAUCGAGACCAUAUCCACUUUGGGUCUCUGGAAUGAAGGCUGGCUCUUGCUCUUGCUUUUUCAAAGGGGUUUCUGCUAUGGGGAUCUCCUUCUCAUAGUUGUUGUGGUUGUUGACAUUGGCCACUUUGCUAAAGAAUUGGUUUUCUCUAGCUUGAGCUUGUUGAGAGAAGAGGAGAGAUGCAAGGAAGAAGAGGAAAGAGAACAAUUUUGCAGCAGAAGCCAUAGUGGCAAGUGAACUUGUUGGGAGGCAGCUGCUGUAAACUGAGUGUAUAUUGUGGGGGAGAGCUAGUGGUAGUCCAUUCUUUAUGUAGAGGACCAUUUUUCUUCUCACCCAAAAUUUUCAACUGAUUAGGUGCAAAUGGGCUGGAGGAUGGGUGAUGGUUUGUGGUCCUCAGUGGGGGCAGAACAACAACAAUAUUGAGCACUCUUUUUUUUCCUUUUUCCAGUUAAUUAGUUUAUUUUGUUUUGUUUUUUUUAAAAAAGAUAUGUAUAUACACAUUUUGGAUGCACUUCAUGCUUUCCAUGGAGGAAAACAACAUAAUUAUCUGCCAUUUUCUCUACUAAGAGCAUUUUUAGCAGUUAACCCCUUGCCAUGGCAAGAGGAGCUCCAAGACAGCUACUAUUCAUGUGAAUAGUAGCUGCCUUAGCCCCCAGCAAAGUGUGUUUCCAACAGUUGCCUUUUGCUAUGGCAAAUACUAUUCAUUUUUUUAUUUUUUUUUUCACAACUUUGUUUACUUAAACAAUUAACUUGGAUAAUAUUUUCGGAAUAGAUUUGGGUUCCUACGUGUCAAUACUAUUCAUAUCGGACAAGAUUUUCGGUUUCAAAUUUCAGAUACAUUUCAAAAUUCAAAUUUCAGAUAAAUUUCAAAUGUCAAAUUUCAGAUACAUUUCUAAAUUCAAAUUUCAGAUAAGAUUUUCACCCUCUAAGAUUGCGCCACGUGUCGUAUCUAUUUGCCUAAAUUUUUCUAUAAAACCAGAGGCUCAGCUCAUACCUUCCACACCAGAUCUUCUCUACAUUUCCAUUUCUCAGAUUUUAGAUUUCAUUCUCCAUUCUCAAUGGCAGACAUGCAAGAGGUUUUGGAGAGGCAAGAGCAAGAAACUAGAGAAAGAAUACGUAGACGAGAGCAAAAGGGCGCAGAGAGAACUAGAUGAGCAACUUGGCAUAGCAGUUGCUUUGCUGGAGGAAGAAAACCAGAGCCGCCGUGGUUCAUGAGAAGGCCGUGGCUCGAAUGUGGACAGACAUAGACAUUCUCGGGGUAAGAAUCUUCUGGAAGAUUAUUUUAUCACUACAAGGAAAAUUCCUUUUAGUGACGAAACAGGAUGGUCGCAAUAACAUCAAAGUUCGUCGCCAAAUAUAAAUAGCGACGAAUAUUUUUGGUUGCCAAGGUCGUCGUUGAAAGCUCGUGGCUAAAGAUACCAUGCGACGAAACAAAAUAUCGUCGCUGAAAUAUUUUAGCAACCAAUUUUGUCGUCGCUAAACAGAUCUAAGUUGGUCGCCUAUCGAGAGUGAGUUGCCGCCAAAAUACCAAAAAUUCCCGCGAACAUGGAACUAUUUGGCGACGAAAUAUUUGGUCGCUUGAACAUUUCAGCGACGAAUGUUUUGGUCGUGAAAGAUGUAGUUUAUUUGUAGCAUAUGUUAGUUGGUUUGGUUAUUUUCAGAAUGGGCGACGAAACAGAUUGGUCGCCAAAUCUGUAGAUAUUGGUAUUGUCAGUUGAGCGAUGAAAACUAAUUCGUCGCCAAAAAAGUAUUGAAUUUUUUUAUAAAUAAAAUAUUUAUUUAUAUUUCAAGCUUUGUAACAGAAUAUUAUUUAGUCCAUAAAGUUUUUGAAAAACAGUAAAUAGAUUAAAUGAAUAGAAAUAGCAUAAUUACUAUUCAAAAGAUACCAGUUGUUUAAGCACACAUCAAUAUAUGCUAGAUACAAAAACCCCCAAGAUAUCCUAGAUACAAAAACCAUCAAGUAGCUAGAUACAGAAGCCCCUAGAACCCCAAGGUAGGCUAGAUACAAAAACCAUCAAGUAUGUAGAUGUACACACAACCUAGUGACUAUUUCCAAUAUCAUCAAGAUCCGCAUAAACAUUACGUGAACCACCACUAUUACCUUGAUCAUCAUCACAAGGAGAAUCACCAACAUGCUGGGACAGAACACCUAAACAUGAGGGUAGAGGACCAUCAUGGGUUCGCAUCCACUCAAUGACAUCCAAAAGUUUACCCACUAUGCCCUGAAGCUCACUUACUGUGCCUUUCAACUCACCAACUGUGCCUUGAAGUUCCUCAACCUUUUGCUCUGUGGCAAAAGAAGAGGCAACUCCACCACUAUGCGCACUCUCCACUCGGAGACUAGAACCCAAGCCUCGAAUCCUCUUGCCCUUUACAACCCCAAGCUCUAUAAUCAUGAUCUCUAACUGUUGUGGGAUAGGGAGUGUGACUUGAUCUAGUGGAGUUCCUGAACUCUCUGCCACUUGUUGCUUGGCCUUCUCAUACUCUUCAUUCAUCUUCUUCUACAAAAAGAAGCAAAAUAAAGAUAUGUCAAUAUAUAUAAAUGCAUAAAAAGAAUGAGGUAAAUGGGAUGCCAGUACGAUCAAUUGUGUUCAUAAACUAGCAAUGCCAAUUAUCCUAAUCAAACAGUCACAAACAAAAAUUUCGUUUCAGCUUGAAGCAAAUAAUAAAAGUAAAUUUAGGUUUUACCCAUAAAAAAAUUUUCACUUUUGGAAAAAGCCAAAGCUUUUUCAAAAAAGACAGAAAAACCUCUCAACUUUCAAACCAAAGACAUGCAAAUGUAAAGGAUUCCUUAGGAAAUCAAAAAAUAAAUAAGGGCAAUUUUGUCCAUUUUGGCUUCUUUUAAAAUUUUUCUCUCUCCUUUGGGCUUUUCCAAAGUCUCCCAAUAAUAAAAGGAAAAGGCACAUAAAAAAAUGGAAUAGAUCUCUUUGGAUAUGCAGAUUGCAGAAAGUUAGAAAAUACUCACAGAUCUUAUAAGAUCUUUUUCUGCAUCUCCUGAAAGCAACGACAAUACAAACAAGAAACUUCCAAAAACAAGGAUUAUAAAUAUUUGCCCAGCAACAUGGCCCCCUUAUAAUUGGGCCUAAAUUUUAACUUCUAAGAGCACAACGGGUUAUUCGAACUGAAUUUGUUUAAUAGGAAUUUGGAAUUGGGCCUCCAAAGAGGAAUCGAAGUACAAUUGUAGCAGCUCUGUUUCAAAACAAUCUUAGCAUGCACUUUUUUUGGUCUUCAAUAUAUAAGAUAAUGGAAAAUUUAGAAAACUCAGACACAUCUUCAUUGUGUUUCUAAUUAAUUAGUUCUAUUUGCAAUGGAUAAAGCCAUUAUAUGAUGCUAAAACCAAAGUACACAAUUAGCAUCUAAAAUAAUAGGUCGUCAAAAACUUGCAUGACCAGUCAGCUGAUUUUUUGGAUUGCAUAAUAUGCAAGUCAUUAGUAAAUUGUCAGCAGGUUUAUGUAUUCCUUACCCCUUUAAUUUCAGCAACCUCAUUGAUCCACAUGCUCUUACUCUUAAGAAUAUGCAUGUUGUUCCAAUUGCUAAUGUAUGUAGGAUUUUCACCCUUCUACAUUUUCCCAACAAAAAGAAAAUGAGAAAUACUUGAAAGUAUUACAAUAUAAUAAAUAAAGAAACAUUUAAAGUGACCAAAAGUUAUAAACCUCUCUAGCAGCUUCCAUAUGUUUUAGGAAAGGACGUGACCCGCCUGUAUGAUCAAACUCUUUCUUUUUUCUGUUCUCAGCAUUGGUCUUGCAGCGUUUCUGUUUUGAUUAAAUACAUGAAUUGUUAUGUCUUUUUUUCUAUUUGAUACUUAGAAUAAGUUCCCAAUCAAAAAAUGAAAACUGCAGAUGUUACAUUAGAUACGUGAUAUUGCUCAUUUGUGUAGAACGUAUCAACCAAAUAAUGCCACUCUUCUAGAGUCCUUCGAGUACCAAAUAUCUUUUCAGGGGGAGGUGUUUCUCGUGCAAGAUCAGGGUUAGAAGCAUAUUGCUUAUAGUGUCUGUGGAGCUUUGCUUUCCAUUCUUUAUAAGUUGAGUGCAUAUAGUCAGUAAUAAAUUUCCAUAUAUCCGGAUCCGUUAAGUCCACAUGAAACAUGAACUAAUAUCAAUUAACCAUAAACAAAACAAGUAUUAAUUAUAAUUUUCAAUGCAAAUAGAAACAUUGAAGGACAAAUUUUUCAGUUCACACUAAAAUACAAUGAAGAAUUGAAAUAAAAAGAGAGCUAAAUGAACAAAAUUAAAUUAUAAUCAAUGAAGAAUUAGAUAAGAUUACCUGCAAACCCAAAGCCAUAUCUUUCUUCGUCUCCAAGCUCACUUUUUUCAUCCCUAAAAUAUUCAAGGGAGCUUUGUUGCGAGUGAUUAACCCAAUCUCAGAGACGAACAGUUUUUGAGCCUCAAUAGUCGCCACCAAUUUCUGGGAUGGAUCCAUCCGUAUUGGAAUCAAACUCUUCCUCUUUUUCACAACAUCACAAGUGCUAGCCCCCACAGUUCGGCCACGAGUGUUCUUCCUUUGUGAAGAAGUUUGAGUAUGCGUUCCUUCAUCUAGAAGAAAAACAAUUCUAAAAAUCAAUAACUUGAUUGCACAAAAUAAAAGUAUAAAAAUUAAGGGCACAAAAUAUGGUAUCAGUUACCUUGUUGGCAGGAACCCCCUCCUGAGGCUGAUGAAGCACCUUGUUGUGGCUGAGUUGAUUGUUGUUGUGGCAGUUGACAUGGUUGCUCAAGUGGCUGUGGUGGUAGUAGAGUUGAAGUUUUCUUCUUCUUAUUGUUAUUGUUGCUUAAGGUAGCAGCCCUCGUAAGUGUCAUUCUACACUUACAAACACAUAAACAAAGAGAGAAUACAACAAUAUACUACUAGAUCAUUCCUUGAUAAAAUAAAAAUAAAUGAUUGAACAUCAUACUUCAGCUGUAAUAACAUCAAUUUUCAUCACAAACGUGCUUGAGAUAAAGGAAUUAUUCAUUAAAAAAUGAUUGAACAUCAUACUUUAUCAAUAGGAAAGAAAAAUAACACUCACAUGCAUUUCAUUUACAUGGGAAGGACAUAUACAAACCUUAUCCGAAGAUAUUUCUUUAAUAUACAGACCUUACAGACCUUACCCCUUAAAACAGAUUAAGGAAAACAUAUAGUAACUUGAAGAUAAUUAAGAAACAUAUAGUGCCUAAACAAAAGACAACCUAACACUUCAAUCCAAUUCCAAAUCCUAUAAUCGUCAAUGUGAACACUACCUUCGUCAUCACCGAAAGGUAUUUGUUCAAUAUCAUCGUCAUCAAUAAAAUCUUCAUCCUCCAUAUAAUUUGGGACAUGCACGGACAUGGAGUCUCAUUCUUCUCAUCAACAUGUUGGCUUGCAACUUCCAUAAAUGACUCAAUACCAACACAAUAUUGAUUACUCAACCUGUUUUUAUUGUGUAUCCAAACCCUGUUCAUCUCUAACGCACCUUGUCUCCGUCUUCUUAUACCUCCUAUAAUGGGCCUUCUCCAAUUCAAUCGGUGAUGACUUGAAGCAGUUCCAAAAUUUCAUAACAUGAUUAGAUCGAACACUUAUAUAGAUACAAGCCAAUAACUCUUUCACAUAAUGAUAAGCUAAUAACUGUUUCACAUGAAAAUUAUAAAAAGAGGGAUUCCACAUUAAUUAUGCUUUUCAAGGGUAAGUAUCAAGGUAACAAUAUUUUUUUUUUACGAUUCUUUCAACAUUAUUUUGCAUAAUCUAGUUGAACCCAUGAAACCAGUGAAAAAAAAUGAAGGCAGGUGCAAGAUUUGCAGCUAUUCAUACCUCUAAAGCAAAUAUAGCCUCUUAAGCAAGUAUUUCAAACAACCUAUUGCCCAAAAAAAAAAAAUCAGUUAGACACAGUAAACCCAAGACACAUAGCCUCUUAAACAAAUAUAGCCUCUUAAGCAAGUAAUUCAAACACCCUACUGCAAAAAAGAAAAAGAUAAAAACAAAUCUGUUAGACACUAUUUUUGGAGGGCUUGAGUCCAAAUUAGUCUUCAAACUCAAAAUAGUAUAUGCCUUCGCCUCUAAGUUUCACCACUCAUCAUUAAACAAAAAAAUUAUUUUUCUGAGUUAACUCAAAACAGUAACAUAAUAAGACAUCACAGGAAGCACCAAAUAUCCAAGAUAAAAUUCUCAACAUAAAACCAAAUGGUUCAAAGUAAUAUUGUAAUCAACACAUCCACUUUAUACAGUGAUAACAUGUACAAUGAAUAAAGUCAGGCUUAAGGUCACAUGUCUCUCAUGUAGUAUAUGAAUUAUCCGAAAUUAAUAAUUAGGCUCUUCAUCUCAAUUCCAAAACAAAUUAUUAUUCUUUAUAGUUCUUAAUUAUAUAUGCCCUAAAUGAUUAUAAAAAUCAUUUCAAAUUAACAAAAAUUUACCCUUGAAGCUAAUUGAAUGACCUUGCGUAAAAUUCAAGCUACCAAUGAUCAUCACAUAAAGCCAAAAUGGUUUGUUAAAAAAGAAAAAAAUGUGGCUGGAAGAGCUUGAAAAGGAUUUCCAAAACAAUCAAACCAACAUUGAAGGAUGAUACUCCAUCAGUUAAAUUCUAUUGUCCAAUUAAGUGGUACUACACUUAGACACCAAUACUAAGGGAAAUAAAAAUAAUUGCUAAACUGACGAGUUAAUCUAUGGGAUGAUGAACCUGCAGCUAGCUUAUAUAUAAAAUAUAGAGACAACUCUGCAGCUAGCUUAAUCUAAACUAUAAAGAUAACUCAAUAAGCUACAUUGGCAAAAAAAAUCAAUAAUAAUAACCACACCAAAAAAAAAAAAAAAAAAAAAAAAGAAGAAGCUCAUAGACAAAGGCAAAGGAACCUUGAAACGAAUACACACCCACAUGACCAACUUCCAACUUCUAACUUUUUACUUCAAUUAUAUAAAUGAAUUGUUAUAUUCUUUCUUCCAACAGAUAGUAAAGAAAUUCAGAUUUAAUCCAGAAGUAUCAAGCAAACAUUCAAGACUUGGAAAAUAAUCAAUCAGACUCAAAGCAUUAAAACUAAAAAACUGAAUUAACUAUUGGGUACGUCUGCAAGUGAAACAUCUCAAAUUUGACACAGAACCCACAUCAAAUGCAAAACAAGGCAUUCAUAUCAGACACAAAACCCUACUCAAAUUUGACAUAGAACCCACAAUAACCACUUGAAAAAUAAACGUCAUUGUAUUCAGAAAACUUGAACAGUUGAAUGUUCAAGCAUUUAAGAUAUCAAAAAGGAAAAAUCAAGCACUGAAAUUCAGUUUCGAUUUAAAUUCCUGGGUAUCUAUUUCCGAUUUUCCUUGAUUAUUUUCUCAACAACCAAAUAGAAUCUACAACUGAAAAUCAGCGAUCAAAAGACAAUGAAUGUAAGCUAGACAAGGUAGACUCACCAGAAGCUUUCGUUGAAACACACAGUGAGGAGGACUUAGGAGAUGGAGUUUUCGUAUGGCCGUCGAUUCCUGACCGUGGUAGGGAAAGGCAUGCGAGAUGGAGGAUUGCUCUGCCGACGUCGGUGGAGGAUUGCUUUGCCAAUGUGAGAGCAGGGGAGAGUGGGUCUGCGAGGAACUAACGAGUAAGGAACUUUUUAUUUUUAUUUUUAUAUUUAUACUCUCUAGAUUAGCCCCAAAAACUGUUUGGUCGUCAUAUGCUAACAUACAUAAAACAACGUCGGUUUAUGGUUCAAGCACAAUGAUCUGCGACGAAAAACAAAUGGUCGCUGACCCCCGAAAUUUUUAAGCGCCAAUUAUAACUUAGCGACAACACAUUAAAACUUAGCGACCUAAUAUUUUCGUCGCCAAAACUUUUAGAGUUUCGCACGCACCCAAUUCAGUAAAUCGCGAUCAAAUAUAUGUUUGGUCGCCAAGUCCUUACCUAACCACCAAAAACUUUCGUUGCCUUUAGUUGAUAAAUUAGUCGCUAUUUUGUUGACUCAAGUCAUGAUAGGUGUCUAAAAAUCACGAACUUUUUGGUGACUAACUAGAAAAUUUUCAUAGCCGAUGCCCUUUUUGGCAACCAAAAUAUAGUGCGUCGCUAACAAUUUCGUCUCAAAAGAGGUUUUUCCUUGUAGUGUAUCCCACAUUCUCUAUACUCUGAUGUUCAUUUUCGAGCGAGAUAUAGAAUGCAAUCCCAUUUGUUCAAUAAAGUCAUGCAUAAUAUUUGCAAUUAUGAUGAAUACUUCGUUCAAAAGAAAAAUUGUGCUGGAAAUUUGGGACUUCUUCCCGAGCAAAAGUUCAUAGAUGUGAUACGAAUGUUGGCGUAUGAGUCAUCUGCUGAUCAGGUGGAUGAGGUUGCCCGGACAGGGAAGUCCAUUAUUUUGGAGAGUUUGGUGCGAUUUUGUGAUGCAGUGGAAACUCUGUACACUAGAGACUACCUGUGCAGACCUACGCCCAGGGACCUGUAAUGGCUUCUACAAAAAGCUGAGUCUCGUGGAUUUCCUGGAAUGAUUGGUAGCAUUGACUGCAUACAUUGGCAAUGGAAAAAUUGUCUAACUGCUUGGCAAGGGGAUUACGGAAAUAGGAAAGGGCAGAAAAGUAUCAUCUUGGAAGCAGUUGCUGGUUUCGAUACAUGGGUUUGGCACGCCUUCUUCGGAGUUGCCGAAUCUCAAAACGAUUUGAACGUCCUGGGUCAAUCCCCGGUGUUCAAUGAUGUUUUGAGAGGUGAAGCCCCAAAUAUCACAUAUGAAAUCAACAAUACCAUCUACCAGAACGGGUAUUAUCUAGCUAAUGGCAUCUACCCGAGGUGGAUAACAUUUGUGAAAUCAAUUCCACAUCCCCGAUCCCAUAAGUAAAUUUUUUUGCUGCCUAUCAAGAGGGAUACAGAAAAGAUGUGAAGAGGUGCUUUGGUAUCCUUCAAGCCCGGUCCGCUGUUAUUAGGGUCGCGGCGCGUCUAUUUGACGAGGAGGUGCUUAGGAGUAUAAUGAUGACUUGUAUCAUCCUCCACAACAUGAUUGUGGAAUAUGAGUAUGAUUACGAUGCUGAUGAAGUGUAUGACCAGAUCCCAUGGACACGGCCCUAACACGAAUUUAUGAAAAACCCAUAGGGCCAAAUGGAGAGCCAGUGCAGCAUGAACCGUUAGUUAGAGACGGUAGUUUCAUGCCCCGUAUAAUUGAUCGCUACACGGAUAUGCAAUCGUCGUAUAUUCAUGAACAUCGUCAAGUUGACUUGAUGGAGCAUUUAUGGGUAGUGAAAGACAAUAAAGGUGAAUGAAGUGAAGUGAAGAUGUUUUUUUAAUUUAUUAUGUUUAUGUUGUAUUUUUAGUUAUGCUUUAUUUUUUUUAUCCUUUAGUUGUGAUUUGUUUAUUUUUUUAUGCUUUGGUUGUGGUUUGCUUUUUAUGUAUGGAAUGUUUUGAAUAAAAAGUAAUUUUGUUGAAUAUUUUCUUUAUUCACUAAAAGAAAAUCAAUACAACUAAUAAAAUAAAUCAUCCUGUUCUAGAGCUAAAACCAUAGCUGUCCCAAAUUCAAACAUAAUUAUCAUUAAACUAAAACCAUACAGCUAUUAAGUUUUGAAUAGAGAACUUGAUCUGGAAAUGAGAAUUGACAUAGGAACAAGCUACAAGAAGGAAAAAUCUUAAAUUUAUUGAAUUUAUAAAUAUUACAACAGACAAAUUAAUUGAAUCAAUUCAAUAAGAAAUUGGACAGCUGAAAACAAGUCAAAAUGGUCCAGCUAUGACAUGAUACUAGUACAUAACACUUGUCACUCAAAUUGAUUCCACAAAUUGACUAAAGAAAGAUAAAUAAACAAAGGAGCUGAAAAUCUAUUGAGAAAAAUGCACGCAUAUUGCAUAAUAUGAACAACUAUUGAAAGCAACGUAUCUGAAAUUAUUGUUUAGAUAUCUGAAGGUAAGCCAUCUAAGUCUCUUUUUUUAUUGGGCAAAGAGAUUAUCCAUAAGAUGAAAGCAAACAAACAGUAUAAACAUGAAGCCCAAAGAAAGGCGGGAAACACCUCCUGCAACCAAACAGCCAAGAGAAAAAGACGGCUAUCUGAGUCUAUCCACUAAAUACAGAAGGAUCGAGUCUGGUUAAACCAAGCCCUUGUAAAGACAUGAGUACCUUGUUUAUCUUCAUUUGUUCAUCUUCCCCAAAAACAAAAAACGUGAGAAUCAGGCAUAGGAGGGUGGGAUUUUUUUAUGGGGUUUGGUAUUUAUAUCACCCACUCAAAAGUCUCACACAAUACACCAUUUAACGAAAUACCUCAAAAUCGAUAAGUUUUUUAAUACCAACGUACUUUUUCUAAUCUUUUAAAAGUCCUAAUUGAAUACCACAAGACUUGAAUUGAUUAUUUCAGAGUUUUUCUAUUUAAACCUCAUACUUUUUUUUGUUCACCUCAAUACUUAAAUCAUUAAGCUUUUAAGUUUUAUUAUUGUGUAAAAAGACAAAAAAGAACAUCCAACUUAUUAUUGUAUUUAAACCCCAUACUUUUCUUUGGUUGCUAAUUGCUCAAAUUAAGAACAUAAUUUACUGCUAUCAACAAAAAUAAAAAUAAAAACCACUGCGUGCAAAGUCCAGGUAAUCAACAAGCUCUCUCGUGACUGCUCUUCAUUUGUCAUUCAUGAAGACAUAAAGAUACCCACUUGUAAUUCUAUCGCCAUUAUCUUCUUGACUACUUGUCUUCUUCUUUUUCAAGGAGACUAAUCUUUUUAUUUGUCUUCUCUGAAUUUAUAAUUGUUUCCUUGAAGUUGCUGUUAUCUGGGUUUUUUUAUUUUUCUUUAUGGUAUAUAUUUGAAAGGAUCCUCUGCAGUUGGUUCAGUAUUUCUUUAAGUUUUGGUUACAUUUUCCUUUUCUUUGGGGUUCUUAUUAUCUGGGUUCUUGGUGAUUGUUAAUUGUAUUUGUGCAAAUGGGUUUCUAGAGGUUACGUUAAGUAUUUUUUAUUAUUUUUUCUUAUUGCAUUAGUUUUUAUUUUAUUUAUGUUCUUAAGGAUUCUAGUAAUUACUAACUUAGGUGCUUAAAUUCAUAGUGUUAAUUAUGCAAUUUGUUUUCAUUUGGUUCUGGACGACUAAGAUAAAAAUUGGUGGCUUGAGCCAAGUGUGGCUGUGGAAAUUGAUGGAAGCCUAAGAAAAGAAUGAGGAGAGUCGUUUCAGAAGAUGGACCAAGAAAAGACUGAGGUGCCUAAAACUCCUCCAGCACUAAACACCCGGAGAAGGGCUCCGGUUGCUUCUGGUCGACAUAACACCACACAGAAGGAGAAAGUGGGGUGUCAGGUUGUUGAAAUUUUUUUAAUUAUUUUUUCUCAUGGGUGUGUAUUUAGGGGUAGUUUGAGAAGACAUUGAGGUUUACUUAGAAAUUGUGAAAAUUUGAAUUAAAAAUGGGAGAUUUUGGAAAAGUCCAAAGGAGAGAGAAAAUUUUUAAAAGAAGCAAAAAUGGACAAAAUUGCCCUUAUUUAUUUUUUGAUUUCCUAAGAAAUCCUUUACAUUUGCAUGUCUUUGGUUUGAAAGUUGAGAGGUUAUUCCGUCUUUUUUCAAAAAGCUUUGGCUUUUUCCAAAAGUGAAAGUUUUUUUAUGAGUAAAACCUAAAUUUACUAUUAAAAAUUGGGGUGAACUUAGAAUAUGAGGAAAAGAGAAGUGCGAGGUUUAAAUAGAAAAACUCUUAUUUAAAAUUCUUAAUUGAAUACCACCAAAUUUUUAUUGAUUACAUAAAAAUCCUAAUUGGAUACCACUGAACUUUUAAGCUUCAAAACAAUCUAUUAAAAUCUCAAUUGAAUACACAUAAAUUGCAUAAUGGACAGAUAGAUAAAUACUUGAUACCAAUCUCAUUCGAUACAGGCAUAGAUACUUCACAAAAAUCUCAUCUGCUAAUAUGUAGAUGCCACCUAUGAUCCCAACUACUAGGUUGGUCCACUACUAAAUUAUGAAAUUUGUCAGCAGAGGAGAGAAAUAAUAAAGAUGAUAUUAUUGAAAUUUCCUGUUGGUUAGAUUCUGUUAAAUUUCCCAACUUCUGUCACAUUUAAUUUUUCUAGUGUAUGUGUAUGUGUACGCUGCUGCUCUUCCGCUUCAUGAUGAUGAUUUGCACGACUGGUAAGUAUCAGAUUGGUAAAAAAUAAUACUUCAUUCUUCUUAAUAUAUAACAAAUAGGAAGGUUAUAUAUACAGAGCCUAGGAAACUAUUCUAGGAAAGUAAUUAUGUUCCUAUAAUCUUGCAUAAUCAAAUAGUUGACUUAGACUAAUUAGGAAUGUACAGCUCAUUGACACUCCCCCUCAAGUUGGAGCAUAUAUGUCAUCAAUGCCCAACUUGCUAAGUGAGUUGUGAAAUACCCUGCCUGUGACUGCUUUGGUAAGGACAUCUGCAAGUUGAUCUUCGGAUUUAACAAAUGAUACCUUAAUGAUCUUUGCCUCGAGCUUCUCCUUGAUGAAAUGUCUGUCAACUUCAACAUGCUUGGUUCUAUCAUGUUGCACUGGAUUAUGUGCAAUGUCUAUUGCAGCUUUGUUGUCACAAUUCAGUUGCAUGGCAUGUUUAGGUUUGAACCCCAAUUCCUCCAACAAAUUCCUUAUCCAGAGUAGCUCACAUACUCCGUGUGCCAUACCUCGAUAUUCUGCUUCAGCACUUGAUCUUGACACUACUUUCUGUUUUUUACUUCGCCAAGAUACUAGAUUGCCUCCUACAAAGGUAAAGUAUCCCGACGUAGAUCGCCUGUUAGUAACAGAGCCCGCCCAGUCUGCAUCAGUGUGACCCUCAACAUCUAGAUGACCAUGUCGUGCGAACAUCAAUCCUCUUCCAGGAGAUGACUUCAAGUAUCUCAAAAUUCGGUUUACCGCAUCCAUGUGGGCUUCACUUGGUGCAUGCAUGAACUGACUCACCACACUUACAGCAUAUGCUAUAUCAGGUCUAGUGUGUCCUAGAUAGAUUAACUUACCCACAAGGCGUUGAUAUCUUUCUUUGUUGGUGGGUACUUGAUCAGGAUAUUCACCAAGCUGAUGAUUCAACUCCAUUGGCGUAUCUGCUGGUUUGCUGGCUAACAUUCCAGUGUCAGUCAAAAUGUCAAGGAUAUAUUUCCGUUGUGAUAGAAAUAUUCCUUGUUCUGAACGAGCCACUUCGAUGCCUAGGAAAUACUUCAGAGCACCAAGAUCUUUCAUUUCAAACUCACUUGCCAAGUGGUGCUGCAAUGCUGCCUUUUCUAUUGGGUCAUUCCCGGUAACUACCAUGUCAUCAACAUAUACAAUAAGGGCAGUGACUUUACCUUUCUUAUGUUUCAGGAAAAGAGUAUGAUCUGAGUUACUUUGCUUGUAUCCAAAAUCCUUCAUUGAUUUGCUGAACUUUCCAAACCAUGCUCUGGGUGACUGCUUCAAGCCAUAAAGAGACUUUCUCAGUUUACACACCAUGUUGCUAGUAUUGGGCCCCAUCUUGCAUCCUGGAGGGGAAUCCAUAUAGACUUCUUCUUCUAGGUCGCCAUGCAGGAAGGCAUUUUUGACAUCAAACUGGUGUAAUGGCCAGUUUAGGUUUGCUGCCAGAGAAAGAAGUACCCGAAUUGUGUUUAUCUUGGCUACAGGGGCAAAUGUCUCCCCAUAGUCAAUCCCAUAAGUCUGAGUAUAACCUUUCGCCACCAGUCUUGCUUUGUAUCGUUCAAUGGUGCCAUCUGCCUUGAACUUUACUGUAUAUAUCCAUCUACAACCCACUGUUCUCUUCCCUUUGGGAAGGAUAGUCAUCUUCCAAGUGGAAUUCUUCUGGAGGGCCUCCAUUUCAUCAUUCAUCGCUUGAGUCCACUUGGGAUCUUUCAGAGCUUCCUGCACAUUACUUGGAAUAGAUACAGUGGAUAAUUGACAUACAAAUGAUGCACAUGACGGAGACAACCUAUGUAGGGACACAUGAUUAGCAAUAGGGUAUUUAACUUUUGUUUUUGGGUCCGGGUCAUACUGUUGUCUAGGAAUCCCUCUAGUGGUACGAAUAGGUAACUGAUAACCUGUGUUUCCUGUAUGACUCGACUCAUGUAAAGUGCUUAAGUUGGAGUUUAAAUGCUCAGUUACCUGCGCGGAAUCUUCAGGACCUGAUUGGAUGAUUGGUGAUGGUACUGUAGUAGGAGGGAAAUUAUCUGAACCAUCAUAUGGAGUUUCCAGUAACUCUUGAUCUUGUUGUACUACUGUAGCUGGUUGCUCGGACACUGACUGCUCUAAAACAGUUUGUUGAAUUUGGAUGCUCUGAGUAUCUUCUGCAAAGAUAGAGCUCUCCCCCUGCAGAGGAUGCUCAGAAACUCCCCCUGAGUAAUAGAACUCACUCUCGUGGAAAGUCACAUCGGCGGUAACAUGCAUGGUCUGAGUAGGAGGAUGGAAACACUUAUAGCCCUUCUGAGUGUCAGCAUAACCCACAAAGACACAACGCAGUGCACACGGAUCAAGCUUGCCACGCUGAUGUGGAUACACCUGAACAUAAGCAACACAACCAAAGACACGUGGUUCGAGAUUUGGUGUGGAUGGCAUGGUGAGGAGAGUGGUCAAUGUCUGAAAUGGAGUUUGAUACUGAAGAGUGCUAGAUGGUGUUCUAUUAAUGAGGUAAGCAGCAGAACAAAGAGCCUCCCCCCAAAAAUGAUGAGGCAUACGGGCCUCAAAUAAAGAGGCACGAACAACCUCCAAGAGAUGACGAUUCUUACGCUCUGCGACGCCAUUCUGUUGUGGUGUAUAGGCACAUGUGGUUUGAUGAACAAUUCCAUGUUGACUUAAAAAAUUAUGUAGGUCAUGGUUGACGUACUCUCCUCCAUUGUCAGACCGAAGCGUAGUGAUUUUCUUGUCAAAUUGAGUAGCAACAUAUUGAUAAAAUAACUUGAAUUUGGCGGUGACAUCACUUUUCUGCUUUAAGGGAAAAACCCAGGUCAUCCGGGUGCAAUCAUCAAUAAAUGUCAUAAACCACUUAAAACCGCUAAUAGUGGGAACUCGUGAUGGUCCCCAAACAUCAGAAUGGACAAUCAUGAAAGGCAAAGAACUUUUAUUCAAUCUUAAUGGGUAAGAAAUACGAUGACUUUUGGCCAAAAUGCAAGUUUCACAAUGAAAGUCUGAUUCAGCAAACUGGGAAAACAAAUCUGGAAAUAAAAGUUUCAGAUAACCAAAAGAAGCAUGACCUAAUCGUCUAUGCCAUAGCCAAAUUUUCUUCAUCCUGAUAGACUCAUCUCCUCUCACAUGAUGUGUCUGACUCAAUCUUGUACUGCUGUCUUCUGUCAAGUCCAGAUAAUACAACUUUCCCCUCCUAGUACCACAUCCAAUCACGGUCCUGGUGAGAAGAUCCUGAAAUAGACAAUACAAUGGCCAAAAACACACGGUACAAUUAAGGGAAUCAAUGAUUUGAGGAACAGAUAACAAGUCAUAGUCGAGUGAAGGGACAACUAAGACAUGAUCAAGACUUAAUGAAGAUGUAAGAGAUAAAGACCCUUCUCCCAUAACUUGGGAGGUGGUUCCAUUGGCACUGGUAAUAUGUGUUUGGCUUGAUGGUUUGGUAGAGUGCAACCCAGUAAAACUAGAUGUCAUGUGAUCAGUGGCGCCAGUGUCAAUAAUCCAUGAUCUAUUACAAGUAAGUGAAGAUGUGCAAGAGGUACCUGAGGUGGCCAAGGCCUUGGAGCCAUAUGUACCUGAUGGAGGUUCUGAUGCAGUCUCCUCGGAUGACUGAGCGAAUGCAAAUGAGGCUCUGGUAGAAUCCUUUUUCCGCGCUUUGUGGACCCAUCCUUCUGGAUAACCAAUGAUCUCAUAACAGCCCUUAAUGGUGUGGUUAUCUAAACCACAUUUGGUACACUUCAUUGGAGGCCGGUUACGAGUAGGGUCGACACUAUAGUUGUUCGGCCGAGAUUGUUUGGACCUUGCAGUAGCCAAGGCUGUGGCUUCGGAGGUUACACCAACUUCAGACAUGGUUCCCUGUCGGUUACUCUCUCUUUUAAUAUGUGCAUAUGCGGCCUCCAGUUCGGGUUUUGGCUCCAUCCGCAAAAUCUCUCCUCGGAUUUGAUCGAAAUUAUUGUACAAACCUGCAAGAAAUAUAUAAACUCGGAGACGAUCAACCUCUUUGCGUCUAGUCUCAAUGUCUUUCGGAUGCUCCAUGGUGCUUGGACUUAAUUGAUCAAGCUCCUGAAAAAUCUCAAUGAGCUCACUGUAAUAUUUGGCAACUGAUGCGCCAGCUUGCUUCAUUAUGAAUGACCGUCUGUGAAGGUCAUAAAUCUUGGCUUCAUCAGCACCAUCUGAAUAGGUUUGCUUGAUUGCAGCCCAGACUUGCUUUGCUGUGUCAUAACGAAUAAAUCGUUUAAUCUGAUUAGGUUGCAUGGCGUCGAACAACCAACUCUUGACUUGGCAAUCCGAUGCACGCCAUUUAUUAAAUGUGGGAUCUGUGUCUGCAGGUUGGGCAAUAUCACCGGUCAAGUGGCCAUGUUUUUCUCGCCCAGCUAUCUUCAUCUCUAUGAUUUGAUGCCAUAGAGAAUAAUUAUUCUCAUCCAGUUUGAUUCCUGCGGAGAAGUUGGAGGUGUCACUCUGCAAAGUGACGAUUUGUGUGGUAGUUUUGGAGCCUCCCGACACCAAGGAUUGAUUGGUGUUUGCUGACCCAUCAUCGUUGGCCAUGAUAUUGGCUGACACCCAAUGAAAAAAGGACAAAAAAGAAAUAUCAAGUUGAGGAAAAGCAAGUGCACGGUGGACAAAGGCAAUAAGACAAACUGUUUUGCAAUAAGAAAUAUUGGGUUGAAAGGGAAAAAAAAAGAACAAUAUGGGAACGGUUUGAAUGGGUCUGUGAGUGGAAAGUGAUUUGCAAUAUUGCAAAACGUGAUUUGACUAGAGGAAAGGUUUGAAUGGGUUUGUAAGAUGGAAUAUGGGUGGUAUUGGUGCUGGGUUUGUGAGAUGGAAUAUUGCUUUUGGUGCUGGUGCUGGUGCUGCGUAAUAGAUGGAAUAUUGCAAAACGGUGAUUUGAGAUGGAAUAUGGGCUGGUGCUGGGUCUGUAUGACGGCUGUUGCUGCGGAAGCGAUUAGGGUUAGGGCAAGAGACAGUCAAGAUUGACUGCUCUGAUACCAUAUCAGAUUGGUAAAAAAUAAUACUUCAUUCUUCUUAAUAUAUAACAAAUAGGAAGGUUAUAUAUACAGAGCCUAGGAAACUAUUCUAGGAAAGUAAUUAUGUUCCUAUAAUCUUGCAUAAUCAAAUAGUUGACUUAGACUAAUUAGGAAUGUACAGCUCAUUGACAGUAAGUAUUGGCGUCGGCCACCAUGGGAGCACAAAAGGAAAGACUGGGAAGACAGAUCUCCCUCCCCAUCUUAAACUGAAAGGUGUGAAUUGAGUGGUCUAAGUGGUAUCCUUUAACGUUCUUGCACCAAUGUUGUACAUGACAAUGCGACCAAACAAUUGUAGAUACAAGACAUCCUCAUUAUUUGGAUCAAAAGCUAGCACCAAAACCCUUUUUGUCCUCCCAUGGUGCUCAUCGUUCCACUUUUUGGUAAGAGGAUUUGCCGAGAUUAAGUCGAACAUGCGAGCUGUGUCUACCAAACACCAUUUUGCAGUCUCCUUGACUUGACCAUGACCUUUCCAAUCCCAAUCCCAAACACCAUGACCAUCGUCUUUCAACUCCCAAACACUCACAGCACCUAGAGUGUGAGCAGGAUCAUCAUGAUCUAAAUUGGUAGAGGAGAAGACGCACAUCCGCAGACACCCUUCUCCUCCUCCUCCACACUCACUUAGGAAGUCAAACCUUCGAGAUUCGAUUUCAGGCUUAUCAAUGUAACGAAAGACAUAUAUACUAUCACCAAGCUGGUCACGAGGAGAGUAGAGAUCCAACCCAAUAGUAAAGCCCUCAACAUCCCUCCACCAAUACAAGCUUCCAUUGUGAGCAACCCCGGGAUAGGGAGCCAAUUUGCUAAAACAAAACCUCCGUGGGUUAUUUACAAGUCCUUUGUCCAUUGACCUGUCUCAGAAGAAAAGAUCUCCAGCUAGAAUUCGCUGGAAACCUCCGGAAAGUCCAAUUUAUCGUCAUUUAUUCGCACAACCUUGUUGUAUGCUAUAGGAUCACUAUAUUAUUGCACAAUUCUUAAAAUAUAAACAGUAGCAAAAUUAUGAAAUCUGUAUGAAUGUGCAAAUAUAUAAAUUAAGUACAGAAACUGACUUUUAUUGAAGAUAGAGGCUUGCGUAUUUGCAAUGUCCUAAAGACAGAAUUUAGCCUCUUCUCAGUGCUUGAAGUUCAACAGGCGUCUAUCUCCCAGGAUUCAACUAUCUAUAAUUCAAGGGUUGGUGUGCCUCUCUCCAAUACAGUUGGUAACUUUAAAAUAAUAUGAGCAGUUAGUAUCCGUUAUACCUGUUCAAAUUCAAACAAAAAGAUAAGUCUUUCUGGUUUGAAUUUAACUUCUGCCAAAGAAAUCCGAAAAAUAAAAAUAAUUAUUUUAUUUUCGGGCUAGGUAUAUUUCUUUUAUUUUCCAGAGACCCAAGGCCCAAGGCCCAAGUCUUGAUUAUUUAAAUAUUAAUAUUAAUCAAGCAAGCCAAUCAUGAUAGUCUUUACUACCAAGCCCAUCAGCCCACCAAUCCUUAUUUAAUUGAUGUUAAGGUUUCAUGCUUAUAAAGCAUAUGGAAUUUUUUGUUUUCUCCAAUGUGGGACAUUUGCUUUCAAACUUCCAACAUACUCAACAUUAAUAAGAUUAUGAUUAAGCUGAAUAUUGACACUCCUCCUACUAGAUCUUUCUAGAUCUGCUGCUUGCUUUCGAUAGUAGGGAUCGCAUAUGAAUCCAACCAUUACGCACUUGUGGCAUCCUCCUGAUCCACGUCGAGGUCCACGUCGGGGGGGAGAGGGAGAGCAUCCCAUUGCUUGGUGUAUGGAUUGCAGAUGUAGUAAUCACGUUGAUAAUACGUGGUUGCACAACACAAAAUUAAAUCAUUAUAUGCUCCUAUCACAACUGGCUCACCUUUAUAAGGAUCAACAAUAUCAGCUUGGAAACAAGGGAGGAAACUCAGAGACAACUCAUGUUCAUGUGGUUGAUGAUCAGGCUCCGAUGACAUGGAAAAAAAAUUUCCUCUCACAUGGUUCAUCUUCAUCGGGCUGCUCCGAUGAUGACGUGGAAAGAAAUGUACUUCUUCUUCUUGUUGUACGCCUUCUAUCCGAGAUGGUUAUAGCACGUGCACGUGCACGUGCAAUGAUGUGGUUUUGGUUGCCACUUUGGAUUUGGAAAUAGUGUCGAAAAAAAUAAGGAUCAAAGAUGAGACUGAACCAACGUUUGGAGACACACAUGCAUCGAGCCGCACACUUAGGAGGGAGUCGGGAAAGAAUUUCUAGCAAAACAAACUCAGGGAGAUCAUCAAGACUAAUAUUCAUGGUUAUGGCUAACUCUUUCGAUAUUGGUUUUUCGGGUGCUCACCUUUUUGAUCUUUUUAAUGGAGACUGAUGAUGAUCAGAGGCUUCUCCAAUAGGUUUGGAUUGGGAUAUUCUACUGCUCCAACUCCUUUUGGUAGCACCAGGUCUCAUCAUGGCGCCGAUUGAUCCGUGUGCAGUUUGACUGACUAUUGCAAUUUGCAGAGAGGAUUUGGGUCUUGAAACAUACAUAGCUACUUAUCCUACUUUUAAUCACUAUAUAUAUAGGAACACAUAUAUAUAUAUAUAUAUAUAUAUAUAUUUUAUUUUUUUUUUUUGGGGGGUCGAAAAUAGGAAAAGAUAUCUAUAAAAAUAAAAAAAAGGCAAGCAAUCACUAAUUAUUAAUUUAUAAAUAGGAAAGAAAUCCUCAUACGAAUAGGAAUUAAUUUAUAAAGGAAAUAUAUAUAUUUUUUUUUUGGGGUCGAAAAUAGGAAAAGAUAUCCAUAAAACAAAUAGGCAAGCAAUCACUAAUUAUUAAUUUAUAAAUAGGAAAGAAAUCCCCAUACGAAUAAGAAUUAAUUUAUGAAGGAAAUAUAUAUAUUUAUAAGCCCUGCAAAUUUGGCAAGUUUUUCAAUAAAGAAAAUGCUAAUCACAAUCGCAAACCGUUGAUUAAAAUGAACCUCAUUAUCGCAGUUUUUACUGAUGCAUGCAUUGAAGGCUGUAUAUCGAAUUUUUAUAAAUUAAUUGAUUACAGACCACACAUAAGUAAUUUCUGAUCGUUGAUGAAAUGCUAGCCCCUCAUGCAUCAAUGGUCUAAAAUCACUUACUCGGGUGAAAGUGACUGACCGUAGCACACCCCAUUGACCUUUUCUUUCUUCUUAUCAAAGUUCAAACUCAAAGUGUUUAUAGUGGGUUACAUAAUGGGCUGCACAACCCUUCCAGAUUGUUUAGUAUUUCUUCGGGCUUGUGCUUUAAGAAUGGUAUUUCUGAGAAAUGUUAAACCACAAGGUAUGGGCAACCACCCAUUGCCCAUUACAAAGAAAAGUCCAUUGGGCUUAAUUGUGGGGUUCAUACUUUACAUUGAAGGGAAUCAAAAUUGAAGUUUAAGAUUAAGACCUACACUUGCCCUCCACUUUCUUGACUGCUUGUGCUUGAUCAGGCAGGCAGGCUGGUGUGUAAGUAGAUUUUUAUUUAUUUAUAGGUCACUUUACAGUAAGAUGCUAAAUAAGUUGAGGAUAGAUAGAGACGGUGGGAGGACACUAUGAUGAAACUGAAAAUUUUAAUGGGGUGGGGAUGAUUAUUACUCCUACAUGCUCUCAUGAGUACUAGGACUGCAAUUGUAUGCCCUUUUGGUGAAAUGGGCCUCUAUAUUCAUAAAGACUACCAAAUUUUCAAGAACAGCUUUUGCUGCUAGAGAACCUGUUGCCCCUAUAUCUGGUCUCAAUUAAUUGGGUUAGUUAGUUCAUAAUAUAAAUGCACGUGAAUGCAUUACUUGGAUGGAUGAGGAAGAUGGCAAGAAAACACACUCAGCUUACUUCUGAUGAAACGGAAUUGAAAGAAAAGAAAGUUUUGGUGAGGUUUUAAAUUGUCUUGAUUUGGCAGGGGACGACCCAUUAGUGUAGUGGUUUGGAGUAAUUGCUCUUGAGGCAAGGUUCUGAGUUCAAAUCCUAACAUCCGUUUUGUGUGUGAGUUUAGUAUAUUAUCGUCUCUCUCAACAAGAAAGGUCCUUCAAAAAAUGUCUUGAUUUGUAGCUAGCUGUGCUCUUUAUUGAAUGAAUAGGUAAUGAAGCUUUAAAACUGGACCAAACUUAACGCUGAAAUUACAAGAUAGCUUUUGCUCCUAGAGGCCCUUCUACCCUCUAUCUGGUCCCAAUUAAGUUGGUUGUUUGUAUAAUAUAAAUGCUUAUUAAUAAUAUACAUGCAUUGGGUGGAUGGUUAAAAAAAACAGAGUUACUCUGUUACUCAAACUUUGAUAGUUCAAUUCCACAGCAUACUGGGAUUAAUUGGAGACGACAAAACUACAGUUAAUAUACCUUCUGGCUUCACAAACGACAUAGAAAUGGAACAUUUUGAGGUUAAAGGUUGAUGCGCGUUGGCAGCUCAGAUCAUGACAAUCAAAUAUCAAAUCUGGAAGUUGAUUUUGUUCUUUUUGCUCCACUUUCUUUUGUGCAAUGUACAGUAUAAGAUGGGCGCAAAGGAAACCCACAUAGCUGUAGUUUUGUGUAUAACCAUCCAAGGAAGGGAAAAAAGAAAAAGUUAUUGGUCAAAAAGAUAGAGACCCCAGCUUCCCCGCAAUUGAAGUUGAAUGACAUUUUGCUUUUUACCAACUAUUUACUCUUGUGGAAAAUGCAUACAGUGCAUGCCGCCUGGUCUGGCCAUAUUGAAAACUUGAAAGCAACCUUGAUCUCAGUCUCCUUCCUUUGUCUUUUACAAUAUGACUAUGAGCCUGCUAGGAGCUAGCCUAGGGCUCAAGGCUUAGGUGAGCGUAGGUGAUGACCUUGUUAUGAACGAGCCUGAAUGAACAAAUAUGAACUAUUUUGCAGAAAUAAGACCAACCAACUUUGCAAAUUAAAGAGUUAAAAUAAGACAAAUGCUCUUAUAAGCAGAAGCUACCAUCAUAUACACUUUAUUGACUGUUUGUUUCAACUCAAGUAGUCCACAAACUUCAGCUUUUUCAAAGCAUGAACAUUAAGCACUUAUGAAAAACCAGAGACAACAGAUACAUAAUUAAAUAAACAUUACAAAAACCCUUCAUAAAAUAUUCUAUUUUUCUUGUGUUUUUAACUCCCACUUGAAUAUAUGAUCUGAGGAUAAAUAUAUCAAACACAGCAAAGCGGUACUAAUCAAAACAAGUCUCAGCUUAUGGCACGAACUCUUCUUCACUCUCUUGGAACUGAUCCUCGUUCUGGUUCACAUUGUUGUUGCCAUAGUUACCCCUGUUGUUGUACCAGUGUCUUGAAUCCACUACCCUUGAAUUUUCAUACUGGUUCUGAUUGUAGUUGUUCUCGCUCUGAGCGUCAUAGUAGUACUUUCCAUUCUCCAAAAACCUUGUGUCACUCAUGCCCUGCUUCUCAGCAUUGUAGUAGUUGUUGCUUUGGUAAUUGGUUGGGGUUGUGUAGCUGCUCUGUGUAAGCCUUGCAUCACUCAAGCCCUGCUUCUCCCCAUUGUAGUUGUUGCGGGUGUUUUGGUAAUUGGUUGGGGUUGUGGUUGUGGUGUAGCUGCUCUGUGUGAACCUUGUGUCACUUGGGUUGCUCUCAAAAUUGCCAUUGUAGUAAAAGUUGUUCUUGUUGGGGCGGUAUUGGGUGCUGUAGGUCUCAGGGUACUUGUUGGUGUGCUGCUGCUCUUUCUCUGACUCAGCUGUAUAUGGCAGGUUGUUGUUGUUGGUGGUGAAUUGUGCACCAUUGGUGGUGGUGUAGGGUGCACCGGUGGUUGUGGUGGUGUAGGGUGCACCGGUGUUUGUGGUGGUGGGAGGCAGCUGGCCAGACUCAUGGCCAUAGAGACCAUAUCCACUUUGGGUCUCUGGAAUGAAGGCUGGCUCUUGCUCUUGCCUUUUCACAGGGGUUUCUGUUUUGGGGACCUCUGUCUCCUUCUCAUAGUUUUUGUUGUUGUUGACAUUGGCCACUUUGCUAAAGAAUUGGCUUUCUCUAGCUUGAGCUUGUUGAGAGAAGAGGAGAGAUGCAAGGAAGAAGAGGAAAGAGAACAAUUUUGCAGCAGAAGCCAUAGUGGCAAGUGAACUUGUUGGGAGGCAGCUGCUGUAAACUGAGUGUAUGUAGUGGGGGAGAGCUAGUGGUAGUCCGUUCUUUAUAUAGAGGACCCUUUUUCUUUUCUCACCCAAAAUUUUCAACUGAUUAGGUGCAAAUGGGCUGGAGGAUGGGUGAUGGUUUGUGGUCCCCAGUGGGGGUAGAACUUCAACAAUAUUGAGUACCUUUCUUUUCCUUUUUUCCAGUUAAUUAGUUUAUUUUGUUUUGUUUUUAAAAAAAGAUAUGCAUAUACACAUUACUUUUUCCCCUUGGAUGCACUUCAUGCUUUCCAUGGAGGAAAACAACAUAAUUAUCUGCCAUUUUUCUCUACUAAAAGCCAGCCAGCCAGUCUGCUCAUUCUGAACUUGCUUAACAUUUAGCUUAGAUGACCCAUGAUUUUUCUUUUCUUCUAAGCAAAUCAAAAUAUGAUAAGAUAAAUUAGAAUAAAACCCAGCUAGCAGAAUUAACAAGAAAUAUGGAACUUUAAUUGUGGGUGUUGAUGGUGUUCCCUAAAGUUGAGGGAAAAAAAAUUAAAAUAAAGAGGCAGCAACCACAAAGGAUAAUUUGGAAAUUAACUACAUGGUGCCAAAGAUGAACCAGGACAUUGAGGUGGCCGUCUAAUUAUGCGUGGAUUGUGGAGUGGGUGGGGCAUGCAUAUAUAAUAUCAUAUGGUGCACGCAGCACGCAGCACGCAGCAUGUGCCCUCUUUGCUCGGUCAAAUUUAAGAUACGUAUCUAACCUCUACUGAAAAAGAAAGAGUACUCAAGACUGAAACACUCAUGUUCUAAGUCCCUGUCAUGUUUUAGAGUUGUGCUACCGUCAGUCCCGUUGAGUGCUUGACGCGUUCUCAGCUGUUGAUGAGUGCACUGAAAGCCGAAACUUCAACCUUGUUCUGGUUCAGCUCAUUUACUGCUUCCCUGCGAUUUAAACCAGUAUUAGUAAUGUCUUCUUCUGUUAGUUGGAAUAUUUAAGUUGCAUAACCAAAACCUAGUAGACGGACAGAUAGAUAAAUACUCGAUACCAAUCUCAUUCGAUAUAGGGGUCCAAUUGGUGAAUAGUAGAUAGAUACUUCACAAAAAUCUCAUCUGCUAAUAUGUAGAUGCCACUAUGAUCCCAACUACUGGGUCGGUCCACUACUAAAUUAUGAAAUUUGUCAACAGAGGAGAGAAAUAAUAAAGAUGAUAUUGAAAUUUCCUGUUGGUUAGGAUUUGUUAAAUUUCCCAACUUCUGUCACAUUUAAUUUUUCUAAAGGUCAUUUUUAAAGGAAAAGAGAGGAAGGUUAAAGAAGCUUCGAUGCCUACAUGAGCCACUAGCCCCUGUCCUCCCACAAAAGACUCAAAGCAUUACUUCUAGUUGCAUCAUGAAAGCCGAAGCAAGGGAAGAAAGAACAGGUACAUGCUAUCAUUGAAGUUGAUUUUGGAAAGCAAAAGCGUGUUAGCACCUUCCUCUGAAAAAGAGCUUAGUCUUAAAGCAGUAAAAAAAAAAAAAAAACCUUUGAAAAAGCAGCCCUUUAGGUUAACUUAUAAAUCUCACAUUAUGUAAGUUGUUUUUUUCCUUGUAAUUAUCUUAAACUAAGUUUGUUUUUUUUGUUAUAUUGGAAGGAAAAAAAUUACUAUGGAGUUUCGAUCUUGAGUGUCAAGCAGAGAGGGUCACAACCACUGUGAUAACUCCACUCGACAUUUUAAAACCAAGUUUACUUAAGCCUUGGUGAGAUUUUCAACAGUCUCGGUGAGUGGUUAACUUACCCAAACAAAACAACCAACAAAGUGAGACUUUUAAAAAGAUAAACAAAACAUAUAGUAGCCUCCCUCAUCUCAAGGCAUCCAAGAGGCAAGAGGACCAAGAUCCAAAUUUCACAUCAAGCUUUCAUGUGGCAUUCCAUUUGGUGAUUGAAGUUUGCAUGUGGCAAGUAAGUCUUCAAUGUUUGGUUAUAGCAGUUGCAGAAUUAAAGCACUUGAUUGAUAGAAAGGGUGGGGGCCAUUGUCCUUUUCUUCUCUCUCCUCAACCUCCUUCCUCAAUGGAAAAUGGGGUUCACCCACCAACACCCCUCUCUUCCUCACUCAAAGCAAUAGACAAAGGAAGAUGCUUUUGUCAACGUUUGUGCUUCACAAAGCAGCCAGAGCCUUUUCUUUUUCUUUAUAUUUCUUUUCAUUUUUCUUUUUAUUGAAUUAUGUGAAAUUUGUUGCGCGAUUAGCGGAAGGAAUAGUUUCAGCCUUUCCAAUACGUUUUUUCUUCUCUCUUUUUUUCUCUGUCCUUUCCUUUUGUUUCUCUUGCAGACUUUGAGUUUUGAACAAAAAUUAGUGGGAGCUCAAAAUUAAUAAUACAUUUAUCUGUAAAAGACUACUGAUUUCAGCUGAAAGCUAGCUAGUAUAAAAAGUUAUAAACUCAUUAUUUUAUAUAUAAAUAUAGAUAUAUAUAGAAAAAAGAAGCAUUAAUAAUAAAACAUAGAUUUCUCAAAGACCCAGAUACAAGAAGAGUAAGAUAAGAUGUUAACAACAGGAACCACUUUUAAUUUAAAGAAAUGGGUUCCAAAACAGAAGAGAAAGCAACAAGAGAUUGGGAACCAAAAUAGGAAGCACAGGAUUAACAUCACCCCCAAGGCGUUUUCUUCUCAUCCUCUUCCUAAAAUUCUCUCUCCUCUGCUCAUCACCCCACUGAGCUUCCUCUAUUCCUUUUGCAAGAAUCAAUGGCGGGGGCAGGUGAUAAGGGCAUUUGGACCUCCAAGAAGUCUCAGGAAACCCAAAUCUGGAGACCCUUUUGAGGAAGAGAGAGAGGCCCCAUUGUAGAUGGAUAGGAGGGAAGGUGGAUUUGGUGCAGAGGACUGGUGGGUAGUCCCAGUUUAGGUAGCAUGGGAUUUGGGUGGAGAUGAAGAACUGAGAGUGAAGAGGUGGUGUGGUUGUUGGGUUGAUUAGGACAUGAGUUAAGGCAUGGAGCCUUUGCUCCCAUGUCGUGUCUUCCAUUUUUUUCUUACUUAUCUCUAUCCCAAGAAUCAAGAUGAGGUUGGUUGACUUGAGAGGUGGUAGGCGCUAGGCGGCCGCCUAGGCGGUCCUCCUUAUUUUUCCGGAAAUAUAUUUAAAGAGUAUAGCCGGGCGGCUAUACUCUUAAUAUGUAUAUAUACAUAGAGUUCUUUAUUUUAUUUUAUUUUUUUGGUUUGAAAAGAUGUUUUAAAGGUUAAGCUCAAUUCUUUUUCUUUUAAUUACAUAAUCUGUUAGAUUAGUUAAAUUUCUAAUAGCACUAGUAUUCAAACUUAAGAAAAAUAUGAAGUUAAUACCUUGGUCCUUAUUUAGAAAAUAAAAUUAAUAACUACAUUGCUGCGAGAUGAUUUGAAUUUUAUGAAAUGUGGCCAAUAAGAAGAAAAGAAUUUUAUUGAUUAUAAAAUCAGUGGUCUUUUUUCUCUUGGGUUGAAAGUAGAAUCAGCGUUCUUCUAAACUGAAGGCAUCCUCAAAGAACACGUUACAUCCCUUGGUCGUUUUUGUAAAACUCAAUAAAUUGUAAUCGUGCAAUUUACAGCUUAAAGUCUUUACUUGAGGCUAUAGGUAUAUAGCCUGUAGUUAUUACACUUUGAAUUGCAAUAGAACUACAUAUACACAAGUAGUGGUGGCUGUCUCUAUAGUACCCUCUCAUUGCCACAGGCUCACAGCUCCUUAUCUGGAACAGAUAUGCUAUUAGAAAGCUUAUUGACCAUUGAUUCAAAUCUGUAAAAUGUUGCUACUGGGGUGUGGAUGAGGGUGAGCUAGCCAUCAGAAGGGAAUCUGCAUGGUUCAAUUCCCCAAGUCUUCUCAGCGUAGUCUCGGAUUGUUCUGUCGCUGCUAAAUCUCCCCGACCCGGCCGUGCUAAGGAUGCUCAUCUGAGUCCACUUACUUGGAUCCGCAAAUGCUUUAUCAGCAGCAGCCUGUAGUCAUAUAGAUUCAAAUCCCACGCACCAUAGUAAAGUUAUACAACACCAAACUCAAACUGCAUGUAUAUAUGUUUUGGGUUGGGACUGCCAAGUAAACAGAAAUAAUUACCUGAGCCUCUAAAUAGCUUUCAAAAUCAGAACCAACCAAAUAGAAGUCUUUACCACCGUCCACAGUAUCACAUAGAGAUUCAAAAUAGUCUUUAAAGCCGAAAUAGCCAUCUCGGACCAUCCUACACAUAAUAAAUAUCACAGCAGAAUUAGAACCUGAGGAAACAGUUUGCUCAGAACAACAUCACACAAUGGUCAAAAACGACAUCAAACACAUGCCCUCUAAAGAACCUGAAAAUUCUAGACUGGUCACCCCAAUCACUAACUGGCUAAGUGAGUAUGAUUGAUUGAAGUGACUGUAAUUGCAUACCUUAUAACACGUGCACAUUGCAGUGGCAUUUUAGGAGAUCCUUCCUCACGCAAAUUGGGAACUUCAUGAAUCUUUGCCCCGAACAAAAACUGGAGAAAGCAAGUUCUAAGAGAAUUAUCUCUGCUAUACUACAAACAAGUAUAUACCAAUCUAAAAUCUUGAAAUAGUCAAUACACAGAUUCCAUCUGGCAAGAAGUUCCAGCAAAAGCAAAUUUCAGUUGGUCGACAAUACUUGACAUCACAAUCAGCUAAGCUGAAUUCAACUAUAUUAAGUUGGCUACAUAAAUCUCACUCGGACUUUCCAUUCUCUACGGAAGCUCAUGUUAUGUUCAGUCACACGCUGUCUAUCUUUAGAGAAGGUCAAAGAUCAAUUCAUAUCACAGUGGUAUGCUUGUAUAGUUUUAUAUAAAAUUUACCAGGUUGUCUGCUCCUAUUUCUUCAACAAUUUCAACUGUAGAGCCAUCUUCUGUAGCUAAGAGUAAACAUCCAUUCAUAAGAAAUUUCAUGCUUCCAGUUCCAGAGGCCUCGUGUCCUGCGGUGCUGCAAAGGAAUCAUCACAAGUUGAGAUAUCAAAUAUGAAAACCGCAAUAACAUUGAAGUUUGGCCAAGAAACUCCAAUAAGUAUAUGGAAAGAUUGUGUUUUUUGGGGUUUCAUCAAAUUUAGAUGCUGCAAAGUUUACAAACCUUAUAUGCUGUGAAAGGUCAGCCCCAGGUAUUACCAAUUCAGCAACAGAUACAUUAUAAUCAGGAAUAAAAACCUGGAAUAACAGAGAAAUCACAUCAAAUAGAAGAUAAUUGUAUCCAUAUGUAGAGUGAAAAACCAGAGAUUUUAACUCAUGCUAGUUCCUCUCAAUAUUUGUACAAAACCAGAUAGGAAGAAUGCAUGUAAGGAUGCAUAAUUCUUUCUCUUACCAACUUCAGAAGAUCUCCGACAUCAGUGUCAUUAUUUAUUUUUUCUGCUACAGCAUGACAGAGUUUGAUAAUCUUCUUGGCAAUCUCAUAACCGGGAGCAGCUUUUCCUCCAAUAAUGCAGACACGAGGUACAACCUUACUCCUUUGACUUUUCUCCAUGUUCUGCAGCAAAGUGCUCAUCUUAACAAGUGGGGGCAAAGAGGAAAGAAAGCUCUUACCAAAAAAGAAAAAACAUGAGAAGAAAGCUCCAACUCCACAUCAUAUCUCAUUGAAAAAUCAACAAAUUACUGUCCAACAACUUCUUAAAUUACUGUGACAAGAAGACGAAAAAGGUAUGCACAAUACUGGAGGAUGGUGAUAGCUCCCUUAAGAAGGUAUAAGGUAGUUCUUUGUUAAAAAGUUAUAAAAUAUAGAAUGCAAAGUUCUUCACCAUAUAAAAUCAGAUUCACCUUGAUACAGUCAUAUCGAUGGAUAAUGCCAAGUAUAUUAAGCAGCUGUCUUUUGUACUCGUGUAUUCGCUUUGUCUGCACAUCAAACAUUGCAUCUAAACUAACCUGCAGUUGAAAGUGAUAAAUUUCAGUGUAAUCUAUUAGACAUAUCUUCUAGACAAAAGAGAAAAGAUGAACAGGAUAGAAGUUCAAAGAACUUGUGACCAAACCUUCACACCACUCAUCGCUUCAAUGUACUCAGCGAGCCUCAUUUUGUUAACCUUCUUAACCUACCACAUGAGCAUAUAUACAAUAAUAUAAUACAAACAAAGCCAAAAGCAUAAUAUAUUUUUGGUUCCUAAGCAGCUGUACAAAUAUCAAGCAUAGGGAGUACCAUCAUCCAUUCUUGUUGAAGGUCAGGAUCGGCUGCAUAUGCUCGCAAGCCAGUUAGAAGGUCAACAUCACGAAUCCAAGCUUCUGUUCCAAGCCAUUUUGAGAUAAGAGCACACAGGCUAGGAUUACUCACCACAAUCCAGCGGCGCUGAGAAAUCAAAUGUCAGUACAUUAUCACAUACAUGCUUAUAAAUUGUAUACUGCUAAGAAUAAUGAUGAAUCCUGAUUCAUCGAUGCAUCAUAAGAACAACCUUUGAAUAUGUUAUGAGCCAUAUAAUAACAAUAAUAGUAAAACUAUACGCACAUGUAUGUAUGCAUGUAUAUGCACAAAUAGAAAACCUCUCAGACCAAGAUUACAAAUUGUACAGGAAUCUAUUCUAAGUUCCACAGCAUCAUGCAUCCAUUUAAGUGGUCACCAACAGACAGCAUCAGAGUCAAACAUUAAUUAAGACAUAUUAAAACUGCAGGAGAGGUUGAUGCAUCCCAAUUUACUGCUCAACUGGGGUGGUUUAAAAGCUUAAACUAUGUCGAACACUCUGCUUCAUAAGCCCUAACACCACAAACUACAAAGGCCAUCAGAACCCAUCUUUGGAGGUGUGUAUCUCACCAUUCUUCUUCAACCACAUAAACAGAUUGAAAAGUCUAAUGAAACUAGCAAGUACUUUAUGAAAGAUGCUAUGAACUUUAUACCUGGGUAACACCAUUUGUCUUGCAUUGAAAUUUCUGAGGCCACAGCUCAUAGAAGUCCUGUGAAAGAGGUGUCAGAUGACCUAAUUUAAGGUAUCAUAAGAAUUUGGAUAUCUUCAACUUUGUCAUAAGACAAGGGAAAAGACAACGAUGCAAGGAACACAUAGUACCUUGAAUAAUUUUGCUUUUAGCAAUUCUGAAUGUACUUCAGAAACACCAUUCACAGUAUGGGAGCAUACAAUCGCCAGGUUUGCCAUUCGGAUACUCUGUCAAAUCAAAUGGUAAUUAAAGGUCAAAUUGCUAAACAAACAUUUUCUCAUCAAGAAGACCAAAGAAUCCUUAAUAAACACCUUAAGAAUGUACUUUUGAAAGGGGAAAAAUAAGCCAAAAACUCAUUUAAGUACAAAAGACUGCCUUGCAGAGAUUUCCAAAUGCCCCGUUUUCUAUGCUCUUCUUUUGUUAUGUCAUCAUUUAAGAGAGAUUAUGCAUAGGAGACAUAAUAUGGUUGCAAGAAUAAGCACAAUGGUGUACGGAUUAACUGUAGAGUUUACAAAAUACUACAGAUAAUACCAGAUGCCAACCACAAUUGUAAGCCCAGAAUCAUAUAUCUAUCAAGAAUACAAUCAAAUAUACCAUCAAAUACAAUAUGGUUUUAAACAUACCUUCACAGCGCCUUCCUCAAUAAUUGACAUUCGGGAUAGCCGAUUGUAAUCUAAACCAAUCCUCUUCUUCAACUCUUCCACAAACUUAAAGUUUAUUUCAUAUAUAAUCUGGAGCAAUAAAAACCUUACCACAAUGAUUUGAGUGACAAAAUAAUAAUCUCAUAAAAUAACGGCUAUUGAACAGAUAAUUCUAUUAUAAUUAGUUUAUAAGGUUGCUUCAGUAUAAAGGAAAGCAUAACAAUCUGAUGGAAAUAGAACUCCAGGAGUAAAGAUGAACUGAUGCACGAAUUGAUACAAAUUUCCAAAAACCUAGCAGACCACUAUCUUGAUGUAAAUUUGUAAUAUAUAUGACAAUUAAAUCAAUAUUUCUUCAUGUCAAAAAAGAGUCUUUAGAAUCGCACUUGUAAAUGGCGUGGGAGAAGACUGCCCAGUAAAUCAACAGGGAUUUUCUCCAACCCUUCAGCAAUUACUGCGUGUAUUGUGAACGAAAAGAUUUUGCAAGCAAUGUCCCACGCUUUAUUCCAACCCAAAUGCUCUUUAUCAACAAGCACUCUCAUGACCUCAGCUAUCGCAAGAGAUGGGUGAGUAUCAUUGAGCUGCAGAGCAACCUAAUUAAGACGAGGAAAAAUGAGCUGAGGAAAAAAGGAAAAACAGAAAAGCAAACCUGAAUGACUAUCAGAGGAAAGUAAUAUAUAUAAAAGUUCAUUGUAGCUAAAACAAGCUGCCAUAUAGGGUAAUAACAUGGUUUUUUCCCUGGAAAUCAACAUAUGAUAAAACGCAGAAUAUUAAGACUUGGACCUUCUCUGGAAAUUCAUCAAAGUUACUGUGAGCCUCUUUAAAUCUCCGAAUUAUGUCUUGUAUGGAUGCUGAGACAAAGAAAUAUUGUUGCUUCAAUCGCAGUUCCUUCCCCUGUAAUACAAAAUAAAGUGAAAAGGGAAACAUACUAAGCAACAAAAUGAGAAUAUACAUGAGUCAUCCCCAUGGAAACCACGUAACUGAGUUCAUGACUUUUCUCCAAACUUCUAAGAAGGUACAUUUUCUCAGAAACAUGCAGAUAAAAAAAAAAGAACAAUAUUGAUAAAACCAUCUUUCUUUUCUUCAAAUAAGUAAACAUGAUUUACAACAUAGUGCUGGAAAAGAAAGAAACUAUCAUGUACCCAAGACUUCAAAGAUGUUUAAUGUUUACAAGGUGGAUAGAAACGCAGGGAAAUAACAGCAUGAUUAUUGUACUCCAAAAUCCUAAAGUUUGAGAGUUCAAGCUAUCCAUACAAUUCUUAUACAGAAUGCUAGAUAACAAUAUGUUGAUAAACUGUCCCAGCAUCUAUAAAAACCUUAAUGAUAGGCAUAAUGGAAAAUCUUCAUCUCAUUGAAGUAGCCAGUUUCUGCAUGAACAUAUCAUCUUUUGAUACAAUACAAUACAUAUUCAAAAUAUAUUAUAAAUAAGAAAUAAAUAACAGCAUUAAGAAGAAACAAGCACACCUGAAACGAACGGUCAUCAGGGUACAAUACACUACUUAUAUUUUCUGCUUUCUGUCUACAAACAACAGCAUUGAUGUAAUCUCCAGUAUUAUAAGCUUCCUGCAUGUGCGGAUCAUUGCAUAGAAAAAUUAGUCUCACCUAAAAUUUUUAGGAGGCAAGAGAUGGAUUCUAUUGAAACAUGAACAAUUGGAGGAGAGAAUACUGUAGCUACUCUUUCAUUUAGGAUUUCCGUGGGAUAUUGAUUAAAAACGCAUUUCUGGAAAUGCAUAAUGUUUAAUGGUAGUAAAAAAUUACCAUAUCAUGUUGAUCACUUGGUUUUCCAGCCCAUAAACGGAGAGUAAUAGUAUUCCUUGUUCCAUAACCAGGUAUGGGAUUAUCAUAAGCCACAGCUUCUACCUAGCAGUGUGGAGACAAACCACUAAGCUGAAAUAACCAAUUAUAUUCAUCAUGUUUACAAGAUGCAAUCCAUCUUGCAUAUAUGAAUUAAACAAUAUCAAAGGAUUUGUAGAACAAAUGCAGCCUUAAUUAAUGGAAAAAGAGUUUAUUGUCUUACCACUUCUCCAGGGAUCCAAACAUUGCAUUUUUCUCCAUUCAAAUUUUCCUCUUCAACGACCCCAUAGAACUUAUCCAUGUUAAUAAUUAAAAAACAGAAGUUAGCAAAAGGUUUUGAAGUUUUAGGAGAUAUAAUGAAUAUCAAAACAACCUCAAUUAUUCAAUGAGCACUUUAAAAACAGGAGUAGUACUUGCACACCUUCACUGGAUACGUUACAUGAACCCGCUCUGUUUCCCAAGGAUUUCCAAAGUUCAACCAGAAAUCGGGUUGUUCAUGUUGGAAGCCAUCCAGUAUAACCUGGCGGAAUAAUCCAUAUUCGUAACGUAGUCCAUAACUGCAAAUUGAAGAUGCAACAUCACCAAAUUACAUCCCAUGUAAGAAAUUGUUGGCAAAAAACUAGUUCCAUAAUAAAAACGGUGUGGAGUUUUCAUAUUGAUUAAUAAGUUUAGUUCUCAAAGCCAUUAAGCAUGCACAUUAUUAUAACGCAUAAUAUAAGUGAGGCACAUUUGAGUUCUGAGUUCUCUCCAGAGACUGCUUCUAUUCUAAUUUAUAAAGUGUAAAGAAUCACGCCUGCCGCAUUUUUUUAUCAAGUGGGAAUAAUAUGCUAUACAUUAGGGGUAACCCUCACUUGCCUAGACUUCACUGUCUUGGAGGAGGAAAGAGACCAAAGAGCUAAAAGGGACCGUCAUCCUAGUAUUAAAGACAAAAAUUUGAUGGGAGUAUAAUGAAUUAGAUUAUUAUAUGCUAACAGAGAGUCAGCAUACCCCCAUGCAGGAUAGUCCAAAGUUGCCAUAGAAUCCAUUUGGCAAGCUGAAAGACGAGCUAGGCCACCAUUACCAAGGGCAGCAUCUCCUUCCUUGAAACAUCAGGAAAACACUUACCAUAGCAGAAUAAAUUGCUAAAUUAAGUAUAUAUUCCAUGGUGUGCAUGGUAUAUAUAAGAGAUCAUAAUGGGGGAAUGACAUCAGCAAAAGAAAAAGGUGUAUACUAACUUGCUCUGCCAAAACUUCAAACUCAAAACCAAGCUGGCUUAAAGCAUCUGCAUAUUGAUCCCGGAUGCCAAGGUUGAUGACACUAUUUGACAAGGAACGACCUGACAGCUCAGUAACAAAUAGCAUUUCAGCGGCAAGCAAGCAUUACAUCAAGGAAAAUAUACACAGCACUAAAUUGGGAACUCAUGGAAAACAAGCAGUCACUUCAGUACAAGAUCAAAAUGAAACAUUAUCAAUUAGUCUAGAGAGGCUUGAGGUUAACAGACACUAGCAUCAUCCAAAGUCCAUAGAUUGUAUAAAACAACUCUGAUGGAAGUACAUAAAUACCCAUAAGAUACUCAAACGAGAGGAAGUAUACGCGCUUAGGGUCUUUCCUCUUGAAGUAAAGCUGCGUAUCAUGCGAACGUUCAAUCAACCGGUCUCUUACACUAUGCGCCAAGGCCUGCAAAAUAAUCAUAACAAGCGUAAAUAAAUAUGCAAACACUUGAUAACUACAAUAAAACUCAGGGAACCCAGAAUAAUGAUAAAUGACGAAAAUAAAGAACAUUUCCCGCCAAAUUUGAGAACAUUCAACUGUGCCCUGUUAUGCAAAUUUUGGAAACCACAAAAUCAAACUAUUGAAAAACAUAAGCCCAAAGAUUACUAUAAGAAAACAAAAUUACCUGAUAAGCUUCAAAAUCAUCGAAGUUAAAGCGGGACCUGGCAACCGUGUACUCAACGUGACGAAGAAUAUCCUGCUGCAGACUAAUGGAGUCAUUUUUCAAAAACCCAUCCAUUAGCCUGAACAUCCUUUCAGCCUUGGCACUAUCGGAGCCCAAGCUCAUGCCCAAACCCGACCCGGGCCUGCGGACCAUCACACCUCUCGUGGUGGGACUGGCGGGACCCAUCGAGACCGUACCACCGUCUUCGAUGGCGUCCGUCAGGGCCUUCUUGAUCCUAUCGAGGCUAUCCGGGUCGGCGAUUUUCGCGCCAUGAGAAUCGGUGACGAAGAAUCUUUUGACGAAGAAGUCGCCUUCGAACUCGACGGUAGCUUUUUCAACGUGGAGGCCGAGGACUUUGAAGACGCCGGUGAUGACCUGGAGGAGGCCGAUGCGGUUUCGGGCUCGGAUCACGAAGAGCGUGCAGGACGGGUCGGAUUCGGACUCUGAGUUCUCGACGGUGACAGAUGAAGCGGCGGAGGGCAGCUGGCUAGCGGAGGCGCGUAUGGGUUUGGCAACAUGAGUGCGGCCGUAUAGGAUCGAUGAUCGCGAUGACCGUGAGAAGCUUCGAGAAUGAGAGGGAAAUAGAGGGAACAGAAAGGUGGAGGAUGAAGAUGCGAGCUUAGAUUGGUCAGUGAUGGUGAAAAGCCUUGAAGAUAGCGUCAACAUUGUAGAAUGCGGGGAUUUGGAGGAAUCACAUUCGCAUGUGGAGAAAGACUCUGGUAGGGAGAGCUUCGGGGUUUGGAGGUGGAAGAAGAAGAAGAAGAUGGAGCUUUGAGUGCAAUCACAGUGAGUCUGUGAGUGACUGACCGUGAUAGUAGGGAAAAGGGACUUUCUGGACUUUUCACUUUUGGAGGGGACAGGGUGAGGAUACCAAGUGGACAGCCUCAUUUUCAUACGGUGAGGCUUCGUAUUCUUUAUCGCCACCUAUAUUGAUUUUUGUUUUUAUGUAUGUGAAUAAAAAUGCAAUAUAUUAGGCAAUGGAAUUCGUCCCUACAGAAAAAAAAUAUCGAAAUUUGGUCCAUGUUUACUUUUGAAGGAUGGAAGAAGUCAUGAAUGGGAGAAUUUAAAUGGAAUAAUCAAGAGAUGAGAAUUAGAUUAACUACUUUUCUUAUGAGUGCGGUCGAAGUUGAUUUCAUUCUUGAUUUUGAGCGUAUUUGAUUACAGAUUGUAGUUGAUUUCAUUCACUAUUUUGAGGGUAUUAAUUACGAAUUUUAUUAUAAAACUCAUAUAAUUUUUUAUUCCUUAUACGUUAAUAGAGAUAUAGAAAGUUAAGAAUUGAAAUCAUUCCAAUUCACAUAUGUUAACAAACACGUAGAAUUUGAAUUAUUUCAAUACCUAUUCAUGAUCGCAGCACCGCAUGUGUCACAAUUGCAUUGCAUCUAAUGAGAAGAGCAAUGGGGUUGAAUGUGGGCGAUGAAUACGGGCAAAAGAAGGGUCGUCCCAUUGGUUUUGGCAAAAGGCAAGAAAGAUGAACAGCAAGCACAUCCCUUCCUUCCACCGUCGUACUUGCAUAAUUGCAUUGCACCCUCCACAGUCACGACUCACGAGCCCCAAAGCCCAAAAUUAUUCACAGCACAGCAAUGCACGAAGCCACCUUUCCACCUCCCGCCAGCCGUCACACUCACACGUGUCUUUUAUUGGGCUCAAGAAUUUGCCACCUCGUUAUGCUCUUUUACCAUACUGUAAAUUUUAGAUGCCACGUGACUACAAAACCACACAGUAAAGUAAACUCUCUAUCUGGAAACUUCCACACCGUUCUGGUUCUUUCGACAUAUUGUUUCUCUUUCCUUCGAAUUCCAGUGCCACUUUCCUUAAUAAGAGCAAAGCAUCAGUUUGCGAACAUACCCAAUUAUAAAUUUUGAUAGCCUUGAAGAAUUUGAGCAAUUCAUUGAGUUUUAAAAACGCUAGCACCUGUCUGAAGAGCAGGAAGAUAUGGGUGUGGAUUACUACAAGCUUUUGCAGGUUGACAAGAACGCCACAGAUGACGAUUUGAAGAAAGCUUACAGAAAGCUGGCCAUGAAAUGGCACCCUGAUAAGAACCCCACCAAUAAGAAAGAAGCUGAAGCGAAAUUCAAACAGAUCUCUGAGGCCUAUGAGGUUGGUCUUGUCUUCACCCUUAUCUUCCUUUUCUUCGUUCACCUAUUUUCUUUUGGUUAUUGUUGUUGUUGUUGUUGUUGUUGUUGUUUUUUACUUUUUAUCAUCUGGGUUUUAUACCUCUAAGCAAAUCCCACAUGUUCCUCACCUCCUUUUCUAUUUAAGUCUCAUUGUAUAAGUUAAAAUUUCCAUCUUUUAUAUUUAAAUUUCCUCAAAUGACAGAAAGAUUCCAUCUUUCAUCGUUUUCUAGAUGGUGUACGAAUGCCAGAGCUUGGAAUCUGAUAUUGUGUCUUUUGAAUUUAUAGGUUCUGAGUGAUCCCCAGAAAAGAGCAAUUUAUGAUCAAUAUGGAGAAGAAGGCCUAAAAGGCCAGGUGCCGCCACCAGAUGCUGGUGGUCCUGGUGGAGCUACCUACUUCCAAACUGGGGAUGGUCCAAAUGUCUUUAGAUUCAACCCCAGAAAUGCCGACGACAUUUUCGCUGAGAUUUUCGGGUUCUCAAGCCCCAUGGGUGGAAUGGGAGGUGGAAUGGGAGGUGGAGGAGGUGGUGCUGGUAGUGGCAUGAGGGGUACAAGGUCCUUUGGUGGACUGUUUGGAGAUGACAUGUUUAGCUCAUUUGGAGAAGGCCGGCCCAUGACUCAGGCUCCACGAAAAGCUUCACCGAUAGAGAAGAGGUUGCCAUGUAGCCUUGAGGAGCUCUAUAGGGGGACUACUAAGAAGAUGAAAAUAUCAAGGGAAAUUGCAGAUGCAAGUGGGUAAGUUCCUGCUUAUCAUUCAGUUUUAUAGAACGUACUUGUUUAAUUUAUUUUAUGACUUGUGCAUAAUCAGUUAUUCAUUCAUUUGACAAUUUCAGAAGUUUCUGUAAAAAGGAUGUCAGCAGUUUUCUGCAUUCCAAUUUUAGUUGGACUUUAUUUGAGUUGAUCUGUUUAUUGUGUUCUUAUCUUUUGAAAAGGAAAAGAAAAAGGAAUAUAAGUGAUGCGACCAUCCCAUUUCCCUGCUGUUGAUUGAAUGAUUCGUUAUUCAUAUUGCAAGUCAUGUGACCAAUCUAUCUAUUUUCUGGUUAGUGACCUUACUUAUCAUGUGAUGCAGGAAGACCUUGCCAGUGGAGGAAAUUCUAACCAUAGAAAUCAAGCCUGGCUGGAAAAAGGGAACAAAAAUCACCUUCCCAGAGAAAGGGAAUGAGCAAGGAAACGUAAUUCCUGCAGAUCUUGUGUUCAUAAUUGAUGAGAAACCACACAGCACAUUCACAAGGGAUGGCAACGACCUUGUUGUCACACAGAAGAUCUCCCUAGCAGAAGCUCUCACGGGCUACACAGUCCAUCUGACCACACUAGAUGGAAGGACCCUCGCCAUCCCCAUCAACAAUGUCAUUCAUCCAGACUAUGAGGAGGUUGUCCCUAAAGAGGGUAUGCCCAUACCUAAAGACCCAUCCAAGAAGGGCAACCUUAGAAUCAAAUUCAAUAUCAAGUUUCCGAGUAGGUUGAAUUCUGAACAGAAAGCCGGAAUUAAGAAACUUUUGGCGGCAUGAUUUGAUUUCGGGGCAUGAUUUGAUUCGAGUCAUUCGAUCCACCAUGCGCCAUGCGAAUCUUCUGGGAUCUUCUGGGACGGUUGUGAAUAUGUUUUUUGAGAUGGCCUGGAUUUGUAUAACUAGUUAGUCUUUGUAAGGUUAAACAUUUGUUUGCCCCACAGAUGUAAGCUGGUCAAUUCUAGCUUGGAAGAAGCAGCAAAUAAAGCUUAGUUAUGUUUUCUAGAAUUUAAUCUUGUUCAGUGAUCGCAUCACACGAUUGUCUCCAAUAUAAAUGACCCUUUCUCCAAAAUUGAGUUGCUUGUUUAAAAAUGGGAAAAUAAAAAUGAGAAAAAACUAUUAUCAAAAUAUCUUCAAAUACAAUCUUCCAUGAAUAUAACUGAAAUAUAAAAGAUAGGAUCUUUGCAGUAUAACUUGCUCAUCUUUUUCAUUAGGUAAAGGUUUGUUACACGCUUAAAAUGACUUACAUGUUACACUGCAUAACUACUGCAGGACCUCUAUCCAGUACUUCUAUCCAGACUACUGCUAAAAAUGUAAUCCAUAAACAGGGAAAGUUUAAAAUAAAAGGGAGGCUAAUAAUAAUAAUAACAAUAAAAAGAAGAUUUGGUGGGGCAAUAUUGAUUCCAUCACCAGGAUAGGAUGAGCCGCUAGUGAAGCUGCAAUAUCAAAAAUUAUAUUGCAGCCAGUAUAUCUGGGAUGCUUGCACAAAGGCAGUUCAGGUUUCAAACUUCAAUCACUAUAGUCAUCUGAAACUGCAGAAUCUGAGCCAUCAUCAUUUGUAAUCUUGUUUUGUAUUUCAUCCGAGGCAUCACUCAUAUCUACAUCCCCCUCUGAAUCUUCAUCUCUCACUUCUUCAAUGCCAUUAUUGUCAUCUUCAGAAGCAUCCAUAUCCUCAUCACUUGCUUCCAGUAAACCCUCGUGCCAUCCGCUGGAAGUCCCAUCAAAUCCAGUUUCCCAGUUUCCUUGUUCAUAUCCCACUGCUUGGUCAUCGUCUUCAGAUUCCAAUGCCUCUGCUUGUUCAUAUCCCUCUCUUUGUUCAUCACCUUUCAUAUGGAUCAUAUCUAUCUUUUCAUCAUCCCAUUCCUCACCCAAGUUUCUCGGGGAAUCCCCUCCACUCUCAGGGCUACUGCGUACGUCAGUCAUGCGGCCCAGAGGUGUCCCCUCAACAACCCUGUCCUUUGUUCUCCUCUUUCUAACAGUUCUGCGACCCCGUGCACUCCCUUGUCCUUGUGUUCUUUUCCCAACCGGUCUAAACCCUUGACUUAGAUUCCCACUACCCUUUUGCCGACUUGCACCAGAUUUGGAAUUAUUCACUUUUCUCUGCCACUUUUUACCGCGCCCUUGCUCACGACCUCCCCUACCACGUCUAAAGCUGUUUCGUGCACUUUUCAGGUGAGUAUUGUUCUCUUCCCGAAUGUAUUCAUUGUGGCCUACUUCUGUUUGUUCAGACUCUUUCAGUGGGGCAAGUCUCAUAGGGAGCUUCUGUGGACAAGAAAAGCACAUGUAAGAUCACUCGUUCAUGGCACGUUGAAAGUUGUAUAAACACCACCAACGUAAAUUCAACAUAUUCUAUAAGGCAGGUCCCAUGCAGAUAGACUGAUAUGUAAGACCACUAGUUCAUUGACACGGUGAAAGUUGUAUAAACACCAACAUCAAUUACAUCUAUGGCUAGCAUAUUCAACAUUGGGGGGUUCCAUCCAGAUAGACUAGAACCGCCAAAUCUUCAUAAUAUCACAAGAUUUGUAUUUUUCUAAAAGAAUUGCAAGCAUUUGUGUCAGUAAUCAUACACCUGAUUCUCUUUCAACUUCUUUUUUUGGGGAACCCUCAAUGAGAAGAACAGGAACACUCACCAGAUAUUCUUUGACUUCCUUGUCUCCGUUGGGCUCAGCUUUCUCAAGCUGUAUAUGUGUAAUCGAUGAAUCCAUCUCAUGAAGCCUCAGAGCCACAGCUGCAGUGGUAUGUGGUAUCCAAGGAAGUAGGGGAACUGAUCCACUGUCUAGAAAGUCAGGAACAAAAACCUCUGAUUGUUUGCUGGUGCCAAGUAAUUCCUCCGUCGCUGCAAAGUUUGAUGACAGAAAGUCUCGCUUCACGGCAGUCUCAAGCAGAGUCAAUAUCUGCAACAAAGUUUGUCCAAAAUUGAGCAACUCAAUAUAUAAAUUAUGUAUCAUGAAUUGACACAUCAUGAGCCAUGGUCAUACUGGUCUGAAGCUCACCGGUGAAUAGAAUACCAUACCACGUAGAAAAAUGCAUGCGGAAUUGAUGGAUAAAUAUUUCCACAUGAUAUUUUCAUAUUGUUUGUGAAAAAAAAUCAGGAAAUUAAUUUACAUCAUGACAAAGGUUGAAUCAUAAGAAUGAAACGAGAAAAAGGUAAGACAACCUGUAGAAGUUCUUCCGUUGAUGAUGAUGCAUUCAGUUUCCCACCCCAGGUCUUUCGACGGUCUUCAGUCCAAAACGAUUGAAGAGCUUCUGGUGGAAUAGAUACCUAUCAAACAGAAUGUCAGUGAUGUAUAGACUCAAUAAAAUAAAAUAAACAAGUGCACAUACAUUAGAUGCCACGUUCUUAGGCAAGCAAACUCAAGAUUAUAGUGAAGCCAUUAGCAUCUCACCUCAAUAUGAGCUAUUAAUGCCUUGAGCAAUCUUCUGCCCAAGGGAAGAGAAGUACAUGGCAUAUGGGAAUCCCAAGGUUCCAACUUCCUUUUUUCUUUACAUUGAAUCACAUGCUCGCUAAAGUUAAAAUUUGCAUAGAAAGCACUGAAAGUCUGAUGGCAAAAAGCACAGUGGGAAUCUUCAAAGUAGUAACAACUAAGGCAGAAAUCGCAAACAUCAAACAGUGAUCUGCACCUCUUCUUCGCAUACUUCAUGGCACAAAAUGUAGAUGAGCUAAAGCAUUCUUUCCACAUCCACUUCUGAAAAUCUUGAUACCUUCUCAAGGCAGCCCUUUUUUCAGCUUCAUUUCUGUCAAGCUCAAUUCUGAAAGAAGAGGAUGUCUCUGCUGUAUCAGAAUUCAAAGCACAAACAGUACUGCCAGGGCUGUCGAAACCAGAAGGGCAAUCAGGGCUAGAAUCCAUGUCGGCUUCAUUUUUAACACGGUUUUUACUUGGGCCUGCACUGUUAGGACAAUGUGAAGUUUUCCGAACAUUGUCCUUGAACGAUGCCUCAAUCUUUUGCAACAUUAAGCGUAGAUGGGAUUCCCUAAUCCCACGUGUGUCCAGAGACGUCAAUAGAGCAUCAAAGGCCUACACAGAUAAUGGAUUCAACAAAUUAAAAUAAUGAAAAAAACAGAAGAAGCAAGGUUAAAACCAAAUACAAGUCUAAAAGAAUUGAACCAGAAAAGUAUUUAUCAACAUUUAGCACCAGAAAAAGGUUGAAAGCGCAAGAAGCCACCAUUAUUGGGAUACCAAGACCAAAGCAUCUUAAUCUUAACUUUGCAGAAAAAGGAAUAUAAGAAACUCUUAAAAGGAAAAUUGAAACAGCAUGUCAAAUCUAACAAACAUAAAAUUUGAUUCAACCAAGCAAGCAGACAAAACCUAUUACAAAUGUAAGACGUGCUGCCAACAUCAAUCACAAGACCCAAAUCUUGAUGAUCAGAUAUUUUAUUCCAAUUGGUAACAAGGCCAGCAAACAGAUAAUAAAGAAUCAACUUUACUAAGAAGCAAAUGAUGCCUAGCCCAACCUCAAUUUACUCAAAAGGGCUGGAAGGGUCAAUGGCAGUUUCUCCUAAGGAGGAUGAAAUGCAGUCAUAACCAACAAAAAUAUUUACCAGUACUAAAAUAUUCUCAUGUCAUACACAAGCCCUGAAACAAAUUGUUAAACCCGUAAGCAUUUAAGUACCUCUUCAGUGUCAAUAAGCCUCCAACUUCCAUUAUUCAAUUCAAUAAAAAUCCUGCCUGAACCAGGAUCAUUGCUUGAUGCAGAUGCAACAAAUUGCCAGUAUCGAUUAUGCCUGCGAUCUUGACCAAGAGGCAGGGACCUAUAUGCAUACAUCUCUUCUGCUCUAUGUGCAAUAUAUGAUUUUAACUGUGAGCGCGACCUUUUUGAUGCAUAUGCAAGUUGCUGACUCAAGAAGUUGUCAGGACCCAUGGAAAUAUCUUGGGCUCCUAAAGUCCUUUCAACUGGCAAACCAUUAAGCUGAUUCUGAACACCUUGUGAACCAUGGAUUGACUUUUGAUUUUCUGCAGUGCCUGGAGAUGCUUCAAUAUUUCUAUUAUCAACAUCCCGUACAGGGCUUUGUCCAUCCUCCACUCCGAUAACUUGUGUUUCAGAUUUGCCUCCCACAAAAGAUGGAAAAUCUAACUUACCGACAUUCUCUUCUUUUAGGCGACUUUUAUCAAGCUGUGCUUCUGCCCACAUUUGCUUCUUAAGAGCAUUUGCAGCUUCUAAGCGAUCCUGUUGAACUCGUGGUGUCAAAUUUAACACAGAAAAUACAACAAUUCAUUGAUUUUCACAAAAUUGAAAAAAAAAAUGUUUACCUCAAGAACAACACGGAUGGAGUUUCCUUCAUUUGCAACACCAAUUAAGGUAACCAGGCCAUUAAGACGCUCUUCCACACUGAGAUCAGAAUAUUCCCCUUCUGUAAGUCCUUGAACCCAUGACUCACCUGAUUUGCUUUCAUCAAUCUCCAUAUUUUCUUGGUCAAGAUUACUAGCACUAAUAUCCGCACCCGAAACACACUGUUUAGAGGAAGCACUAGGGCAGUUUGCAUCUUUGGAACCACUCACUGGGGAAGAUGAAACAUCGUUUUCAAACUCAUUUUGCACAUUCAGUGCAACAUCAUUGCAUAAAUCCUUUCCAUUUUCUGAGAAAGUAAUUACUUCAUUGUAAUCAUCAGGGGAUUUCUUUGCAACUGAUGGAGUAGCUAAGUCAUCAACUUCUGGAUCGUCAUCAACUUCAUCACAUUCAAAGUCUUCGUCUCUUUCAACCUCAUCAUUUUCAACCUCAUCAGCAUCAUCUCUUUCAACAUCAUCGGCAUCUUCUGCAGCUAAAAACCCAUUUUCAAAUAUCUGAAUUUUCUUCCGUGCUGCAGAAAGUAUGGCCUCGGCAUCAGCAGGAUCCUUUCUGUAAGCAGCUCGUACGCGAUAUGUUGAAGGAGCUAUUCUUUCGAAAAGCUUAGUAUCUCUUGUCAAAGCAACAGAAAUUGAAGCUUCAGGAGUCUUGCUUGUUGUCAGGUCCCGAAGGCCAGAUUUCUUACAGAAAAGAACAAAUAACAGAAAGAGAAAAAAAAAAAAAUCAGGAAAGAGGGAGCAAAUAAAUCCCGAUACCAAAAAACUCAACUCUUGUCGCAAGACACACAACAGAGUUUCUGCUAACAUUAAAUGAAAUCACCUGAAUCUUGUCAGCAAGCUCUAACACUGUUAGUCCCUUGUUUCCCUCAAGUGAAAGCACAUGAAAAGCUGCAAAUUUUACAGUUCCAGGAGUCAACCGGUGUCUAGAUUUUCGUGGGGCUAGUAAGCCUUUUUCUUGCAUUAUUGCAAAUGCAUUUUCAGCUGCUGAACCAUUGCGAAGAUUAGAAAUUGCAUCCUGACAACCUUUACCCUGAAAUUACAAGUAAUACUGUGCGUUUUACAAUUUUUGGAAUUUUAUAUAUAUAAAAAAGCAUGUCUGAAUGUACUCUAUUGAUUGAGCAAAAUUUACAUACGGACAGCCACCUUUAAGGUGGUUUAAUAUGAAUGAAAAUUGAUACUGAAUUAGAACACGCCGCCCGGUCUGAAAGUCCAAGAUUUUAAGUCUUUGAGCCUUGUGCUAAUAUUACACUUCAAGCUAAGUCCAAACAACAUUCAUAUGGGUUCCUUAGUUAUUUAUAUUUUAGAGUUUUUUAGUAAAAAUAAAUUAAAAUUCACUUUUGUUGUGCUUAGUAUGCUAAGCCUGAACUACUACCUCAAUUCACCCUUUCAUAGAGUUCAACUCACAAAUCAAUACUGAGCGGAGAGAAACAUCUAUCAGGAGAGUAUGACCAUGUGGUAUUCCUUUUGUUUUUCAGUUUUUUCCUUUUACUCUUUCCUUAACUGAUGAAGGAGAUGAAUUCCUUUGAAAGAAAAGAUAAUAAAUAACUGAAAAGAGAACCUCAUCAUUAUCAGGAGAGUAUGACCAUGCGGUACUCCUUUUCUUCAACUGUGGCCCAAAUCCGGCAGACAGUGCUAGUUGCCGGAAUAUUUCUGGCCAUGUUAGCAGAUUUAAGUGCUGCUGCCAGUUUCGUAUAUCAAAGCCCCAUGCAUAUGCCUGAAACAGAAAGUAAAAUUCAAUAUAUUUAAAGAACAAUUAGGAAAAAGCAAUAAAAUGAACAAACAAAACAACUGCAAGCAUGCAGAGAGCGAAGAUUACUCCUUCAACAAUCUGUGGAUGUCCACCACCAGGAUUAGCAGCACCAUUUUGAUUUACUCCUAAUCCAGUAGAAGGAGUCCUUGCAACAUCUUCAAUAUCUUUUAUAAUCAACCUCAAGAGAGCAACAUGGAUCUCUCCUAACAACCUUGAAUCCUGAUAUCAAAAUUGUAUGGAAUUAAACAGCAGCAGAAAACAGAUGAAGAACAGUUAACUAGAAUGCACAAUUUUGAAACAAAAUAACUCAUUGGUGGCUCACAUAGUCAUGAAAAGCUUGAACAAACUCAUCAAGAGUAAAAGGCCAUAACUCGAGAACAUCAGCAAAGGUAAUCAAAAAUCUCCAAACCUGUCACCAUCACGAUACUCAAUCAUCAGAACCAGAGGCAUUAAUUCAAAUAUCAGCAAGAAAAUAAUCUAUUCAAAAUAACAUGCAUAUGACAAUAUUGGAGAGAGCAUUUAAUUUAUAACUGCACAGAAAAAACUGAAAACCAUGAGAAUCACAUGCCAAGAAGAGCAUAUUGAAGCUGGACCAUAGAUAUUACCAACCAUGCAGUGUGCAUAAGGACAUAAUGUAACCAUCAGCCAUACAAGAAUAUAAAAAAUAUACACAUAGUACUUCUAAAAUCUCAUGUAAAAGGAAAAAGGAAGGACGCACCAUUAGGAAGUUACCAAUAUUCUCCUCUGAGUUGAUCCACGGCUGAACUGCAAAUGGUCUUUUUAAUUGCACGGACUUAGGUGGGAAUGCAGCCAGAGAAUCUAAAGCAGAAAAUCACCUCAUCAGAAAAAUUGGUAGAGUUACUACAGAAAAUAAUGAGCCAAAACAAUGAAGACAAUCUCAUGGAGUUGAGGAGGGGAACACAAGAUGAAAUUCUCAGUGCAGAAUGCCAAGCAAUACCUACCUCUGAAUGCAUCAAGGUUUUGCAAGGUGUCAAGAUCAAUACAAAUGAUUGAGGAUAAACCCUUGCUUGCAGCAGCCAAUUCCAUUAGUUCUAGUUGCUCAUCCUCAAUAAGCUCCAUAGAUUCUUUAGCAAGCCUGCGUGCAGUAGCCUUCUCAAGUGCUGCUUUGCGUCUCACUGCCUCUCUCUCUUUGCGAAGCUCUUCCUUUUGCCUCCUUUUCUCAGCCUGCAAGAUAAACCCAGGAGAAGAAAAGCAAAAAAGACAAGGGGGGAUCAAGAAUUUAUCAUUUUAUGCUGAAAAACCAAAGAUACAAAACAAAUGCAUUACAUUAGUGGCUCCUCAAACUUACUCUUAUAUAUUCUUUCUGCAAAAACUUUUCCCUUCGUUCAAUUUCACGUUUUUGCUCACGCUUUGAUCUCUCUUCCUCUCGCUGCCUUUCACGCAUCAACCUCUCUUCUUCUUUUCGUCUCUCACGGUCAUGCCUUUCCAUUUCUUUCCUCAUUCGUUCCUCAUUCUAUAAACAGAAAAAUAUCAGCAUACAAACACCUAUAGUUCAGAACAAACAUUUUGGAGUGAAAAAUAGAACCUUUCUCCUCAGAAUAUCCUGUUUCUCCAGCUCCUUCCGGAUCCGAAUCUCAUGAGCUUCAACUUCUUUAGCAAUUCUAGCUUCUUCACUCUACAAGGGGCAACUAUUAAAAUAAUCCUUGAUUGAGAAAAUAUAGUUUUCGAAUAAAAUUGAACCGCACAAGUAUACCUUGCGUUUCCUCUCCAUUCUCAGCAUAGAGUCAUUAAUUUGACCAUCAGACAAUACAUUAGAGUUUUCCGGUGCAACAGUAGGAGGAUCACUAAACUGAGUAUUUACUCUAACAUUAGUAAAGGAGUCCCUUUGUGGCACACAGCCAUCAUCACCAGGAGAUGGAAAGGCCACUGCUUGCCUCUCCUGCUGAGACAGAAGACGAACACGCGACACAUGACCAUGACCAUGGACACCAUGAACCCUUGACAAAGGCUCAUUUCCAACUGCAAAUGAUGAAGCUCUGGCACUAGGACCAUCAAUUGGUGAAUCUUGAAAAUGAGAUUGUGCGGCUUGUCCAUAUGCAUCAGACCGAAUACUGGAGUGAUCUUGAAGAAAUGGAUAUUCAUGGAGAGCCCUUGGAGUUGCCUGAGAUGAAACACAUACUAAUUCAAAAUUACAAGUGGUGAUGCAAUUGUCUUAUGGUUAUUUGAUUGAAAUACAUUCACUUUCUAUUUCUAAACAACACAUCAUUUGAAAAGAGUAUGCGUUUAUCAGAGUUUCUUAACAGAAGGUUAUGGUAUACUGGCAAGCGGGAGAACAAAGUAGUGGUAUAUUUAUUCGCUAAAAGAAAAUCUAAUACCCAGAACUUGGAAAAUGAGAGAGCAAAUGGACGCUUCUCUCGUAUUUUUAGGGAUAAAGCCACAUAAGUUAUAAAGGAUGUAUCAUACUAAUAAAAAAAGAGCAAUACAUGUAUAUCACUUAAUGAUUCACCAGCAUAUCAUUGCACAUGCCAUCAUAUGGUGCAUAUAAAGUAAUAACUUUUAUCAAAGAAAAAGAGACGGACUUUAUUUGGUUUUGCAUCAUGCCGCUCAUAUUUGCCCUCCAAAGCAUGGGCAGCCCGCUUCUGCUGCUCUGCAACUGCUUCACCAAGCACAGAAACAAAAGGGUUAGCAGCAAACCGAUCGCAUACAAGAAUCAGUCAAACAAUAGGCAAUAAUAUGCUAGAUUAAUAAUGUGGCCUUUAUUGAGCAAUAAAUCAUAUGUUUUCGCAAUUUUUCUGAUUCCAAUGCAAUAAUUUUAGGAAAUAGUCCAUACUUUUAGACCACCCCCACCACCACAAGAUGAAAAAAUUUGGAACUCAAACUUCUUAACAUAAUCACCACAGUGCAUAAAGCCUCAAAGCAAAUGUGAAUGUUAAACUACACUAGAAACCAAAGUUAAACCAACUAAAAAAACCUUAAUUAUUAAGAAAAUUGGUGAACCAAGUAGCAAGUGUGAUCCAAAUGCAUCUGGAAACUUGUAAAGCCCAUGACUGCCAUAAAAUAAACAAACUUAUUGAUACAUUUAAACAUGGCAAAAAGAAAAGUCAUGAAAAUAAUUUCUGUUUAUCUUAGAGAUGGGAAUGCAAAAUACAAAUAUGCUCCGAGAAAAACAGACCAUCAUAAACUCACUAGACAACUACAAGCACAAAAUUCUCUGCAUAAUGCUGCAACGAAAUCCCAUAUAAGUCAAGUACAAGGCAUUGCUGAACUGAGCUGUACAAUCAAUAAGGGAACCCAAUAGUUAUACCUAUAGGUGCUCCGAACGCAUCUGGCGGCAACCGAUCGAACUCUACGCCGAGAACUGGCCCAUCUUCCCUCAAUGGCUCUCCCAAUUGAGCUUCCACACAAGCAAUGGCUCUAAGCUCCAAUAUCGACUGGGGUGACUCGUAAUACCUCCUCCUCAUUGGCACAUCGUCAGCCCCACUCCUGGAAACCACAUUCCGCAACUCCGCAUGCCCAAACGGGCUUGAGCCGGAGCCUGAACCCGACCCAUAAUCACUACCUGGCUCAGACCCGUGAGCCAAAUCAUCAAUAGGAGGCUCGGGCAAAGUGGGCACCGAUUUCCGCUGUUUCUUUGCUGGACCCCCUUCCUUUUUGUCCUUCAAUCUUCUGUGACAGAACCACAUCUGCAACUGCCGAUCAGUAAGCCCUAAUUUUUCCGACAGCUCCGCCCUUAUCGCCUCCGACGGGUAGGUCUCCACUGAUCAAAAACCCAAAAAAUAAAAGAAGCUUCAAUUUUCACAGACAGUAGCUAUAAAUUUAAAACAAAAAAAAGAAAAAAAUCGAGAUUGAACUUACAGGCAUAAGCUUUCUCGAGGGUUUCAAGCUGAAAGGGGGUCUUCAUCUGGCGCUUGGGCUUGCUCUGUCCCUCACUGGAAUUAUUAAAUUUACCAUUACUGUUGUUAUUUUCAUGAUUUUUAGUCGGAUUUUCUCCUUCGGAAGCACCCUCCAUUGAAGCAAGAUCAAGAUCUGGGCAGAACAAAGCUUCUUCCUUCAAGCCUUCAAGGCCCCAAACCUCGAAACCUCGAAACCCUAGAAUUCCCAAAUCCUCAUGGAGAGAAAAACAAAACAAAAACUGGGUCUUCCGAAAGCAAACAAACAAACAACGAAGAAUCUGAUUUCUCCUUUUCUCUCUCUCUAUCUCUAUAUCCUCUCUCUUUUCCUUUCUUUAAACAAAUACCGUAACAGUCAAGGAAAAGAUCAAGAAAGAGAGAGGCGUAGAAUUAUCAUGAUGGAAUAAUGAGAAUAACAUGAAUAAAAUAAAUGUGAAUUUCGGGGAUUGACAUGAAAAUAUGACAACAACAACAUCAAUAACAAGAAUAAUAUCAAAAAAUAGGAAAAGGCAAAAUCAGGAACAUAAAACCAACAGUCUUUCCUCACUCUAAUUCCACCUUCCAUAAUUUUCUUAUUUUUUUUGUUUUUCACUUUUCUAUUUCUAUUUUCUUUUCUUUCGGUCUUUGUUUUGUUUUUGUUGCCUUUUCUUUCUUUUUUUUUAAUUCGAUGGUACUUUCAUACUUCGUUGCGUCAAACGAUACGAGGCCCUUUUCUCAGUUUUAACGUUGCGUGGUUUGGUUGGGCUGGCUAAAAACACGAACCCACGUUCCAACCAACAAAAAUGAACUUCUUUUUAUUUUGUGUUUUGUGUUUUGGUUCCAGCGAGCGGAUGCCGAAAACUCUCUCUUCGUGUUUGUUUUUAAUUCGAUUGACUUUUCAAUUUUUUAGGUUGUACGAGUUUUUUCUUUCUUUUUUUUAUGUUUUUUUUAUUGAUGACUCUAAUGUUAUUGCAAGUGUGCGUGUGUGUUUGAUUUCGAAGGCUUCUGUCUGGUUGUUAAUUUAGGUUCUUUGUGAUCUUUGGAUGCGAUCUUCGGCUGCGAUGAUCGAGCAUGUCUUUCUGGUUUGUGUUGUUGCGGGCCCCGCUGUCCGCUUUGGAAAUCUUUGGGCUAGGCUUUCUGAGCUGGGCAUGUAUUAAAGUACAAAAAAGGGUCCGCCCACAACAAAUUUUAGGCAUGUUAUAUUUUCGACUUUUAUGUUUUCUGGCUUUUUUCUUCUUGAUAAGUAAAUAUGUUGGUAUAAUUUCUUGAUCAGAGAAAAAAACAUGUCGUUAUAAUUUUAACUGUUUCUGAAUGUUCGAGCAUUGCUCGAGAAGAGUUCGAGUAAUGCUCCAGGGUCCCAGAAUGCUCGAGUACAACUCGAGCGAUUAGUUUUUUAAAUCUUGGAAGAAAAAUAACUACAUGUCUUUAUUGUGUUAUUAAAAAAAUUAAUUUUCCAAAUUUCACAACUUCCAUACUAAAAGAGCACAACGAAAUACCAACACCAAUUAAUCAAUGAUCAUUGAAUGCCAGCAGAGACUUAGCUGCCUGAUUUGAAAGAUGCGAACAAGAUCAAAAUGUUCCUUUGGGGUCUUGGGCUCUGAGCUCGUGGCAAGCUUCUCACCAGUGAGCAAAUGGCUAGAAGACAUCAGCAGAGGAUAUCAUACAUCUUGCUCUAGCUGUAGUGGUCCACUCGAAUCUCUAACCCAUCUUUUGAAGGACUUGAGAGAUAGAGAGUACGUAGAGUUCGUAAGGUCCUUAUCCUUUACCCCUUUGCCGUUGGGUGGCUAAAUCUCAAUAUUCUCCAUUCCUAAGGCAAGAGUUUUUGGGUCUAGAGUGAGUUUCUGCCUUCUCAAUUUGGUCACAUGAAAGUAGAAUAUCUUUGAGCCACUUUCUAAAGUUCAACGCGAUUCUAAUAAAAACACUUAUGAGCAGAAAUGAGAGUGGGAGUGAGAAUGAACUUGAACAAAAGAAAUAAAUUCUCCGUGUUAAAUAUCAUGUGUAUAUUUCCUAUCCUUUCUAAUGCAUUACUUUACUUUUGAAUGAAUGAAGAUCUAAGCAAAACAUGUAAAUUGGCAGUUCAAGCAUGUCUCUAGAUACAGAUAGCAAUCUAUUCACUCACAUAUAAAAUCUCCAUUCUCUUGACCCUUUUUAGGCUUCCAUCCGUAGGAAGAGCUCAUUGUGAGAAAGAUAAAAAUUGAUACAUUAUUGAAUUCCAGUCCACAUGAGACCAUUGCAAAUUAGAAUGUCUUUGUGCUCUCAAUCAAUCGGAGAAAAAAAAACGUGGGAAGGGGGAAAUAAACUAUAACAUGGACAAUAGACAGAUACUCAAUUUGCCAUUUCUUCUGAAGGGAAUUUAUGAAAUUUACAAUGCAAGGUUCCCUCCAUGUCCAUUCUUCCCUUCUUCUCAUGCAGCUUUCCCUUGCUGGGUUUUAUGAACCAAAAAAAGGGUCAGAAGAGCAAUAAUAUUACACAGAUAAAUUUAUUUAAUGGAAUUGGAUGCAAGGGACUAACUGCCACAUGCAUGAGCUAAAUUUAGCUAUAUCUGACUUACUCGUUUCUCUUCUUCUAUUUUGGCCUUGAUGUAAGAGUAGAUUGCCACUCCUGCAAUCGCAAUGGCUGUCCCGAUACCAGUUUGUGUUGAAAUCUUGUUGCCUGUGAGCAGCAAGUAGCAAUUAGUUAUACAAAAGAAAAAGGGAAGUUGAAGAAGCAAAAGCAGAACCAAGCUGAAGAAAAGAAGAGCCUUACCAAAGACCAAGAUGGAAAAGCCAAUCACAAAUACACGUUUCAGCACAUUUCCAACUGCAUGUGUAAGAGGUGCCACUCUCUCCAGGGUAUUGGUGGCCAGCUGAUAAUUUCAUAACAGGAUACUGAUUAUUAACUUGGGCAACAUUUGAGUUAUUUUGAGAGGAUUAUCCUCCUACUAUUACAAAGCCAUAGAACCAUAAGUUACAAUAGAAAGUAAAGAAAACAAAUGUACCUGAUUAUAGAGAUGGUAGAACAAUCCCACCCAGAAGAGAUCAGAAACGAACUUGACAAGACCUACUUUAGCAAUUGCAUCAUUGAAGCCGUACUUAAUCAGUUGAGGCCCCUCUACCUGUGAUAUGAGAGAGGACAUUGAACCAAAAUUCAUCACAAUUUUUGUUUCAGUUGCACAAUCAAACUUCAAGGGUUCUCAAGUGUAAGUUUUACUCACGAUGAGAGCCGGUGGAAUGCAGACAAGAAGAGCAAUGAUCGAAAUAUAGGCAUAGAGAUUGGUACUGUCCAUAUCAGUCUGCAAAACCAAUAAAACGUUAUACAAGUAAGAAGCAAUCUUUAGCUCCCCAUGUUCUGUCCUAUUCAAAACAAAAUGCUAGCUAAAGUUCCAGAGCCACUCACCAUGGCUUUCUUUGAAUAGAUACUCCUGUAGGUAAAGGAGAUGUUUGAAAUCAUAGCACUAAUGAAGCCAGUCCAGUUGAAUGACAACUCAGUCAGCGAUGCCAUCGACACACCUUCAUUUUAAAAGUACGUAAAUACUAAGUGAGCAAAGACAGUCUGAAUAAAUUCUCAUGGCUCAUAGUUUUUGGGUAUCUCCAUGAUUUACAUUUUCCAUAGUUUUCAAUAGAAUGAUUGCAACGACGGGAUGAACAUAAAGAGAAGAGCAUACCAAGAACAACAGGAGCCAGGGACAGCCAUAGAGACAAGGGGAUUGAUUGUCCGAGAAUAAAUUGCGAAGCAGAGGCAUUGAAGAAUGGCUCAAGAGCUGCAACAAACAAAUUCAACGUCAAAAUGCAAUAAUUAAAAGUGCACUUGAACAAUUUUGGCCAUUGUACCAAACAUAUGAGAGCAUAAGAUUUGUCCUCCCACCUUUGAUGGUAUGUGUGAAGGAGACUGCAACGGCUGCAAAUGAGACAUUGCUGGUGACGUGGCCAAGUGCAUGGCACACGGCCACAGGGAUGAGCAGCUUCAACAGGUUUGAGUCAAUAGGCUGCACGGAGACGAGAAACACCAGUCAGUCACAUAAACAAGACAACCAACUGAACAGUGAACAGAUUGAGAUUAGCAUUAUGGGCCUGGGCCUGAAGUGAGUUCACUUACAGCGCGUUUAGGAAGGCCCACGGCCCAGCUUAUCAAACAGUACACCACUCCCACGCCCAAGUGCACAACCGACACAAAACUGCACACAAACCUCAAACCCACUUAUUCGACCCAAAAAAAAAAACCGCAAACCCACUUCAUCAGAAGUUCAGAACACAGACCGAAUUCAAAUGGCUAGAACCAGCUAAAUUACGCCUGAACAUGAAACACAUAUGCUAUCCUACGCUUUUUUAUUUAUUUGUUUACAAGAAUUAUAGGUAACGAAAAUUGAAAAUGGCACACUUACUAGGGAUACGGGAAGUAAUUGUAGAUCUUCUUGUUCAUGAUGUUGAAAAUCACAUUCAGAAAAUACCUGCCCGCCAAGGACGACUCCGUAAUUUCACAUACAAAAUAUUUCUCCCAAAAAAAAGCUUGAAAAGUUUAUUAAAAAACGUACCACAUGAAGAAGAAGAAGCCGGUGAGGAUAGCCGGGUACUUGUCGAAGAACCCGAGCGGCGCGACCUUCGCGUCCCUGUUAAGAGCACCGAGUCAGGCAGAAAAGGCCAAAAAGAAAAAAAGCAUUAGUCCGGAGGCCGACACGGGCGAGUCAGACCGAGUCGGAACGGAGGAAACGGACCUCACCCGGCGGAAUCGUUUCCCUCGGUCGGAGAGGAAGCGGCGGCGAGGCAAGGCCGGAGAAUCUCCCUCUUCAACGGCGAGGCCUCGAGCAGCAGCCCGGGGCGGAGUUGCCUCCCCCAUAUGAGGUUCCCGCCCUCGCUCACGGCGCCGAUCGGCCGAGCCGAGAAGAACGAAACGGCGGCGUUUUCCCUGGGAGAUGGUUUGCGGUGGCAGGGGAGGGCUCCGAAUGUGGUGGCGCGUGAUAGCACUCGCGACUCCAUGAUUGCUGGGGGAAUGAGAGUAAACUGAGAGAGAGAGAGAGAGAGAGAGAGAGAGUGGAGAAUGUGGUUUGGGAAGCUGCAGUGAGCUCUUAUUGGUGAUUCAGAGUAGACACACAGCACAGCAGAGACAGAGAUGAUGCGCACCGUUUUGGAGUGGGUGUUCGAGGGCGGUUAAUUGCUUUUGUUUUUGUUCGUCUGGGAUAUAAUCUGUUACGACGCGGAACAAGUUAAAUAAAAUGCAUCCACCAGUGAGAUUAGAUGAAGAACUUGAAAUGGUGAAUCGGAGGGUGUGGAGAGGUCGAUGAUGGCGGGAUAUGGUGAGGUGGGGGAGGGAGUAUGGGAGGUUAUGGUCGGUACGGGAUAUGUUUAUGGAGGAGAGUGAGUGAGGGAGAUAGGGGAAGAAGUUGAUAUGACUGUGGAGGGGGGUGGGGACAUCUUAUCCCCAGCGUAAGGCUUACGAGCAACGAAGAUUGGCAGUGUUUUGAAGCCUCUUAUCGAUUUUGUUUUCUUAAUGGCUUUUUUUUCUUUUUCUUAUAUGUGAUGAACUGUCAAAGCUGUCCGUGAUGUUGUUAUUUGCUUUUUAUUCACUGUUCUCACGAGAAGCCAACUGUUUGCCUCUGUACAAAAAUUAUUUCUGCAGUCCGUCCCAACCCAACUACCAGUCUACUAAAUUAAUUUCGUUUUCUAAGUGAAGAGGGAGAUUCAAAUUUGGAACCGAAAGAAGAAUAUCAUUACAUUUGGAGUAAAUUAGUGAUUAAAGAUAAUAGUUAACUUGGCUUAAGUAAAUACUAUUCCGGUCAUUGAGAGUACGGAAGAUGAAAUGCUUGAACCAAUUGGUAAUGUGUUCGAUUCUCCAUUGAAAUCAUCUAUUGUUUUUCGAAAUAAGAAACAAAUUAAAAUAGUGCAGGAAACUAAAAGAGUUCAAAGUUAAUGAUUAUGAGGAUACAACUAAUAAAAUGUUGGAUGUAUAGAUCAAAAUUAUUGUUUUAUGCAUCUUUUAUAACAAGUUGGUUUUCUUGGUGCAAUUGAAACCCCAAUAUAGAAGAACAUUGUCAAUUAAACUCCAACUAGCCAUUUAUUGGGCCUAUGACAGCGUAAAUUGUCGAUGGACCCGAUCCAUUUGUCUAUGGGCCUGAUUGAAGCAUUGCAUGUUCCCAUUUUGAUCCAAAUUGCCAAUGUCGUCGAGUGUUCGCGCCCUAGGCCGUCUAAAGCCUCUGCUGCUGAGCAUUACCAUUCAGGGACCGUCCAAGACGUCGGGAAAAUACGAUGAGUCUGAAAGAGAAAAACAAUUUCAUGAUAAUCAGUCCGCAGGUAAGGUUGCUGCUACUUCUGUUACAAUUAAAUUUCUACUUUCCCCUCAAAAUUCUUGUGUGAUUUAAAGUUCCCGCCUAAGACUGGUGUUACGGGACGACAUCUGUUUGAUGAAAUGCCCCACAGAGUUUAGACUAGGUGGCUUCUUAGCUUGAAUUUUACUGCUAAUCGAUUCAUGUUGUUCGUGGGUAGUUCUUUUUAUCUGGUUCUUGUCUCAUUUUGCUCUUAUGUUUAUAGAAAUGUAGAAAUUGAUUCAGAGAUUUGCAGGCAGAGCUUUUAUUGUGCAAAACUGAAACAUAAUUGGGAGUGAAUGAUAUUGUCUUAUUGAGAAAGAGUGCUGCCAAUACAAUGGGAAGCAAAACUUUGUUUAAAUGGUCGAAGCAAAUCACUACUUCCCAAGUUGAGCAGCUGAUAAAAGCUGAAAAGGACAUACAGAAAGCUAUUCUCAUAUUUGAUUCCGCAACAGCCGAGUACACCAAUGGCUUCCGGCAUGAUCACACCACCUUUGGUCUCAUGGUCGCUAGAUUAGUCUCCGCGAACCAGUUCAGGUCAGCCGAGGCGUUACUUGAUAAGAUGAAGGAGGAGAAAUGUAGUGUUACAGAAGAUAUAUUCCUCUCUGUUUGCAGAGGAUAUGGCCGCGUUCACAGGCCACUGGAUGCUGUCAGGGUCUUCCACAAAAUGGAGGACUUCCAGUGCAAACCAACCCAGAAAUCUUACAUUACCAUACUUGGCAUUCUUGUUGAAGAAAACCAGUUAAAGAUUGCUUUCAGGUUCUACAAGUAUAUGAGAGAAACGGGCAUUCCAGCUAGCGUUGUGUCGCUUAAUAUUUUGAUCAAAGCCCUUUGUAAGAACAGUAGUUCCAUGGAUGCAGCUCUUCGAAUAUUUUGUGAGAUGCCCAAUCAUGGGUGCACCCCAGAUUCAUAUACAUAUGGUACUUUGAUUAAUGGAUUGUGUAAGUUAGGAAAGAUUGGUGAAGCAAAAGAGCUCUUCAAUGAAAUGGAAACAAAAGGUUGUUUGCCCUCUGUUGUUACGUAUACUUCCUUGAUACACGGCUUUUGCCAAUCCAACAAUUUGGAUGAAGCUGUGGGAUUGUUUGAACACAUGAAAACCAAAGGUAUUACUCCAAAUGUCUUUACUUACAGCUCUUUGAUGGAUGGACUUUGCAAGGGUGGGCGUUCUUCACAAGCAAUGGAACUAUUAGACUUAAUGAUUCGUAAGCGCCAUAGGCCAAACAAUAUCACUUAUAGUACUUUGCUUCAUGGACUCUGUGAAGAAGGAAAGCUUCAAGAAGCUUUGGAGAUUCUAGACAGGAUGAAGCUUCAGGGCUUGAAACCAGAUGCAGGGCUGUAUGGGAAGGUAAUUAAUGGCUUUUGUAACAUUUGCAAGUUCCAGGAAGCUGCAAACUUUCUUGAUGAGAUGGUCCUUGGAGGAGUUUCACCUAACAGACUAACUUGGAGCCUUCAUGUAAGGAUUCAUAAUGCAGUCGUCCAGGGCUUGUGUAGUAGCGGCAAUCCAAAUCGAGCUUGUCAGCUGUAUCUUAGCAUGCGUUCCAGGGGUAUCUCCAUUGAUAUGAAGACAUUUGAUACUCUAGUGAGGUGUAUCUGUAAAAAAGGGGACCUGCACAAAGCUUAUCGAAUUGUUGAUGAGAUGGUGCUUGAUGGAUGUGUUCCGGAUGAGGGAAUAUGGAGUUCCAUGGUGGAUGGGUUUUGGAAUCGCAGGAAGGUGCGUGAACCUGCUGAGUUGUUGCAGGCUGAGCUGAUGAGUGAAAUGGUUGAGCCUGAAACAUAAAUCUGAAAGUUUUGAGCUAGUAAGUGCUCUUAUACACGUUUCAUUUAUUUUCUUUCUGGUCAUGAAAGUUUGUUCACCACAUUGCCUUUUCUUUUUCUUUUUAUGAAAUUAUAAGUUACUGGCUCAAAAUAUGACUACUUACGUGGCACAUGAUUUAUAAAGCACUUGCUUAGUAUAAUGUCAUUGGUAACUGUCCAUAGUGAAUUUAACCAAGAACGUUGGUAACUGUAGCGCUAGAAAGGAUUUUUCUGUAUAUUAACCAUGAAAUAUAUUUGGUUGACAAUCUUGAAGUAACUUGUUCUUCCUAUUAUUCACAUACCUCACUCAUGUACUACACUCUUUGGCAUAUAAGAGAAAUAAGUAUGACAAGCAUUUGUUAAAUCAGUACCAGAUACAAUCUAUCCUGUCAAGAAUCGAGGUUUUUAAAAGCUAUUUCUUUAAAGGUGGAACUAGGAUUUACAAAAAAAAAUAGAAAUCAUAUAACUGACAUUGACAGAGCUUGGAGGAAGCUGAUAUGGAAGAAUGAAUAAAUAACGUUGUGUGCAGUCCACAAUUUUAAGGAGCACGCAGGCAAAUAUUUCUUAAUUAAAAAAAGAGGAGUUGUUAAUUUACAGACAGGGGGAAGCCAAUUCCAUGGCGCUUGGUUGGAAAAACAACAAACAACAUACUGCAAAUGACACCAAUGCCAACUGGCAAUGCUGUGAGAAUCUCCUGAGCCUUAUCCGACGGGGUUGGAUAGAAGCAAUUCACUACAUUCUGAUCAAAUAGUGCAACAGCUGCAAAUACAAGUAUUGACAUAAAGGCAUGGAGGAAAUCUAUAAACCGCAGUUGGAAAUUUGCAUCAACUUCGGGUGAAAGGGUGGUUGACCCAUCGAUGAUCCAUAAGCCUCGGAAUGUAGCAAAGCCAUAACAGACAUUUCCAUUCUUGUCUCUAUAGCUGUCAGUGAAGCUCAGUAGAAAACAUGAAGCUCCACAGAGGGCUACAAGACCAGCAGUCAUGGACCGGCUGACUGAGUCACAGUUGCCUUGGUUUGAAAAUAUGGGUGCUAGAAGCUGAAAUGCAAGAACUGUUCCAGUUGGUAAAAGAUUGGCCAAAUGAGCUGUGCUUUGAAACGUCUGGCGAAUGGCUUUCUGUAUCAAGGUUCUUUCCUCCUCUGUUACGGACUUUGGCAUAUCUUGCAAGAGGGGAAGUUUUUGUUCAUCAUCAGGCCAGUGCCGGGAUUCCUCAGCUUGUAUCUUGAUCUCCAUUGACCAGAAACGCUUGAAGCUUCUUUUCCCUUAAUGUUUUGGUCUCUUUUCUUGGUUUGUUUUAGAAUUUUUGUUGGGAGGAACAAUGUUAUAUAGAUAGAGAAUAAAAAUGAAAAGAGUGGAGGUAAAGGGAGGGAAGAGUAGUUAGUCAUGCCUUGCAAGGAAGAGAAACCUAAAACUGGAACUGAAAUUGAGACAAAGCUGCUACCAAAUGGGAUUUUUGGUUUCGUGCAUAGAGCUUCAAAGUAGAUGAAAGAAAGCUUUUUGGUAUUAGACAAAUGUCCAUCAAGAGGCUUCAUUUUUGUGCUAACUGCCCAUCAAGCUUUCAUGACCGUUAUAGACCAUGGUUUUUAAAGUUGUCACAAAGAGGGAGGGGUGAUGUGAUCAGGUUCAAGAAGUUUGGGGCUUACAAGGUUUUUGUUGUUUGUUGCUGAAACGCAAAGUGUAUUGCUUAAAGGCAAGAGGCUUCAUAAGAGGUAUUCUUUACUUUUAUUAUUAUUACUUCUAAAUUUAGAAGUGGAGACCCACACUUCUUUGGUUUUAGGCUUUGCUUUUUAGUUUUUCCUUCAACACAUGAAAGUCCGUAUUGGAUGAGAUAUUAGGCUUCACUUUUAAGGAAUUGGUGUUAAGAUCAUACAUGGUGUCAUAUACUCAUACCUUGCACGUUAUAACUUUAUAAACAGGUGGGAAUUGAAACAGGGAAACCACUGUGCCAUGUGUUGAACUAUUGCUGCCAAAAAGGCCCAUUUUUGCAGGCACUGAUAUGCUGGAGUUUUAAUCCACUCACCUUCUAACCAAAAUCUUGCAAUACAUCUGCUUUGUCCCUUUGUUUUUUUUUUGUCUUUUUUGAUACCAACAGUAGUAUAAGCGACUUUAAACUAAUCUAACUUACGAGGAGAAUGACUCGAACUUAAGUGCAAAGGGAUGGACUCACUGCUCUGACCAAGUAGUCUAACUCACAUCUGCGCUUUGUCCAUUCACAUAGUUAAAACAAAUUCAACCCACCUCAUAUUUUUCAGAUCUGAAGCCCAUGUAUCAAAUUGGACACGUGUGUGGUGAGCCUAAAUGCACAGGCCCGUCUAUUUAAAAAGGACCAGGCAUACACGAAUAACCCAUUUGCUCUUGCUGGGCUCAAGAGAAGAUACCAAAUAGGCCUUUUUGUUUUGCUGUGUCCUUGUUUUUAAGCAAUUUGAAGAUAGGAAAACAAAGUCAAAAAAAAGAUGUCCUUUGAGAGCUAAAGGUCAUAGUUAUGGGGAAGAGAGACGUCCCAUUCAAAGAGUUUGACAAAUUAUGUGCCCUCUUCGCGUUGGACCAUGCAUAAUGCAUUGCCUGCCAAAGGGGUCACGAGGCUGAAGCAUAUAGAUAGACGCUAUAGGCAGAGACUUUUCAUCACUUUUUCCCAAGGCAGAAUUGUAGCUUCUACUUCUGCUUUAGCAUCCGUUACAAACUUUAACCAUAACGUACAUUUCAUUCAGUCACAGUAUCUUAAUCCUAAAGGAAUGAGAAUCUCGCUCUUGGUUUAGUGGGUACGAACUUAAAGCUUAAUGUUGAAAAAGGUUUUAAAUUCAACUCCUCGUGUCUUAAUAAAAAGAAAGACUUCAAAUCAAUAAGUGUUGCAUGUACUGUGGUCCUUUUCUGCAACUGCAACAUCACAAUGCUGGUGUAAAUUUUAUCAUUGUUACGAUUCCCUUCCUUUGUUAUUUUAAUUUUCUGAUAACUGAGAAGAAUCUUUGAACUAUUAGAUUACAGAAUCUGGUCCAAAUGGUUAGGUAACUGUCUACCAGCUACAACAGUGAAGUUGCUUUCAUUCUAAAAACAACUAUUUUUUUCAACUUUUGUUAUAUAGAUUUCUGGGUCUAAUUUGUAACUGUAAUUACCAAAAAACUGACAUAUCUUUGUUAAUUAGCCUUUGAUACUAGCAUGGCAUCUAGAGCAGACCCAAAAACAGAAAUUGUAGCAUCUAGGGAGGGAGGGAGGGAGGGAGGAAGGGAAGGAGGGUAUCUACAGUUUACCUUCAUUCAUGAUGACCACCAACCCCUACUUCCUACUCCUUAAAUGAUUUAAAACAUUGUGAAAUAAUGACACCAUCAAACUGGACCCAUAUAUUAUAAUUUUGUUUCUUUAGGGCAUUCAUCAAGAAAUCAUGAAAGAAAAAAAAAUUUAUGGCAUCUGAAUUAAUAAUUAUAAAGGUUUUUCCCAGUACAUUUUAAAGUUGACCCCAUCUUUUUUUUUUUUUUUUUAAAAGACCCUACAAAAUGCACAAGCAAAUGAUCAUUUGGAGAGAGGUGGGAGAGGGGAGGGGGUGUGGUGUUCUGAAUGAUGUGCUGGGUGUGAUGAUGAAUUGUGUCAUGUAGCCUAUUGGCACAAACAAGCAUGUAGACGAUCAUAGAGUGCGAACCUUAAAAGAAGUCAAGGGAAAAUGUUUUUUUUCUUUUUCUGGCUUGGUUGUUCACCUUUCAGUUUCUUUCUAGUACCAAUUGAUUUGUUGCUUGCUGCUUUUCCCUCAUUUUAUGGACUGGUUCAGAAAGCCAAAAAAAAAUUCAAUGAUGCCAUAUGGCCACGAGAAUGCUUUUCUGCAUAUGCACCCAUAUGAAAACUGUGAAUGAAUUAUGAAUAUGACUUUGUUGAUUUUAUGUUCUAACCAUCAAGGCUUUGUUAUUACCGUUAGAAUGAAUUUGUAACACGAGUGAGUAUUAUCUCUGUAUUCGAGGUUUUGUGUUUAAAUUCUACUCUUUCAAUAUCAAUUGUAUUAAAAAUAAUAAAUAAAGACUUUGUUACCGUUUUAAUAUAUGUGUAAAUUCAAUAUCAUUGUCCAUCUAAAUCUUCUUAGCAAUUAACAACUUGAUUUCUUUCCUAUAUUUGUGAGAAAUCAAAUUUUAUACGUUUGGCUUGGAUUCUCAGAUUCUUGCCUGGAAACGACUAUGCGCCAAGGAGGAAACAAAGAAGAAUAUGCAGGGCAGUUUCCUGAUAAAUUAUGCAUACGUAUAAAAUUGAAAUUUUUUAAAUAAAAAAAAAAAGAGUACAGAAAAUGAUUCAGGGUCACGGGUUCUGCAAGAGAAGAUAAGGAUGGAUGUGUGAUGUGCCACAUCUGUUCCUGGGUUAUUCGGUACUCCGUUCAUUGGAUUACGUACUAAUUUUGAAUUAGAAAAAUAUUUAAGUAUUAAUUUAGAAGAUGAUUUUGCCCUUCUCAAACCUCCUGCACUCAUUUAACACUUGAGGAGUGCAUAAAAUUGUUUUUAGAGUCCAAAAUCAAUCUAAAUUUUCAGAUAAGUAUAGCUAGGGUUGGAUAUGGUUCGGUUCAGUCUUGUUUAGGGCCAAAACCAGUACUCUUUUUGUUGUUUUCAUGUCCAAAAUUAAUAGGCGAAAACUACCAAAACCUUAGGCGAUUAGGGUUUUAGCAUAUUGGAGAGGUCAGUUUUCUGAGACAUGUCAUGCCUUUGAAUUUUAUAUAUAUGAUGCUCAUGCGGGUCAGUUUCUGUCUUGUAUGAUUCUAUCCAGGACAAUGCAUGCCAUAUAGUAGAUACUCAAUCGAGAUUGCAAGGCCAGUCAUGCAUCAAUCCCACCUUUUUCCACAUCAGUUUUGGCUUCUUUUUCUUUGAUAUUUCUUCAACUUCAAGAGUCUCUCAAGUGGGUCGUACUCCAUUUGACUAUCGAAUGGCUAUAACUUAAGGCAGCCUUUCAGGGAAAAAAGGAAAAAGAACAAAGACUUAUGAUUUCAUUGACUUGAUUAAGAGUCGUUUCUACAAUAGAUCCAAAAUCAUUUUUGGCAUCAUCUCUUAGUGUCUGGAAUAGAUUGAUGAUAAUGAUAUAAUCAAUAUUCGAACCCCCCUCAUUUAUGAGACGGCUAAUUAGUCUAGAAGAAGAGCAUCAACCCCUUCAAUCAAAUGGGUUUUCUUAAUUACACUUCAAGCAAUCUUUCACCCUACAGAUUGUGAUAAAUUUUUAUAACCAACCUUCAAAUGUCGCUUUUUACAAUAAAUUAAAACUUGUUUAUCUUUAUAAUAUUGAAAUAUGCCCUAAAAUUCGUAUCCAAAUGAUGAAAUCACAGAAUUACAAAGUAGCCAACGUUGCAAAUCAGUUUCUUUUUAAAUAAAAAGAAAUGGGCAGAGUGAAUCUAAUUAUAAAAACCUAGAAUACUUAAGCUUUACUUAGUAUGAGGUCUCAAGUUCAUAUUAGUCAAAGAUUCGCAAGCGUGUAUGCUCCAUUUGGGACUAAUAAGUCAAAAAACGUCACCUAACGCAGUCAGUUGCUGCUCCAACAAAUACCACUCUUUACAUUAUUUUUCUUGAACUCACUUGUUUAGGGACUAAUUAGGCGACUAGUUCAACAUAAUCAUAAAUUAAGCAAGCGUAUUACCGUGGCGAUGCAACUUCUGUUUCCAAACACAUGAAAUCUUCUAAACUUUCGACCCCAAUGUCUUGACCAAUUAGCCGUUUUCCAGAUUAUCAUACAUUUUAAUGAUUGCUAGACGCUAAAGAGAGAAUAAAGUUUUAUUCCUCCUCUUAGACUCCAGUGGGGUUUAAACACAUAACAUAAUCCUAUUCAGAUUGAUUAAUCUCUGUUAAUUAAUUAGUCCUGUUUUGUUUAAAGCUUCCCAAAACCUUUUCAAUGGUGCUAGGAUGGCCAGUUUAUAAACUUUAUAUAUUAUAUGACAUAUGUACAUACAGCUGGGCAUGCAUUUGGUGUUGGUUUCCCAUUAAAGCAUGACCUCUGCCAAAAAAAAUGUGUAAAGAAAGUGAAAAGAGUUGCCUUUGCCAUGACCUUUCUCUCAUUUAAAUCCUUGGGGAGGAAAAGGAAGGGGUGCAUGCUUUCAGAAUAUGCAUCUUUUGAAUUAGUCUUGUAAACCCUAUUAAACAAUAAUCCUCUGCGUACCACAUCCAUAUGGUAUAGAAAAUAAAAAUAAAACCCAGAGGAAUAAAAUCUCAUGGGAUCUUCCCAAGUGUACCACUAAUGAUUUCAGAAGAGCAGGAAAGUGAGGGAGGCCUGUUGAGAAAAGAAGAUAAAGCGGAACACUCCAAAUGGGAGAAAAUUUUGCCACAUACUGUUCAGAUGCAUCUUUUUCUCACAUCAGAUAAAGUGGAAGGUGAUGGUGGCAUUGAGGGAGAAAGGUGGAAAUGAAGCAUAAGAGGACAAUUAUGAUUAUGGUUAGGAACAGACUCAACUCAAAUGGGUUGGAUCCACCAUAUCCUUUUUUCCCCCCCUCAAAGUUUGUAAAAAAGCCAUUGAUCUUGGCCCUACAUAUCUUGCCUUGUAGGUUCCACAAAAUACCUCUCAAUCUUUCAAGGGUGCUGCUGGAUCUGCUUCUUCUUCUUGUUUUUUUUAAUUUUAUUUUUAAGGGUCGGAAUAGGUCUGCUUCUUUUGUGUUAGAAAAGUGAUGGCACUGAGGCUUUUUGUACCAAUUCUUUUUAUAUUUUGGGUUUCUGGAAACCAAUUGUUUUUUUGCAAAAUUUAUUGCAAUAAAGAUAAAAUCAUGAUUGAGUUAGGAAUUUAGGAAGGUGUGCUUAAGUUGGGCCACUGCUUCAACCUUUUUCUUUUUAGACCAGAAAUCUGAGUUUAAUUAAAUCAUCAUAGAAUUUUUAUUAGCAGGCCACCAAGAAAUCUUUUUUGUUAAUUAAACUUGAAGCAAAGCUCAAGCACGACCCCUCAAGCAUCAUGUAAUUAUAUCUCGAAACAGUAAAAAUUUCAGAAAGUUCUAAGCAAAACUAAUAAUCACACUUAAUUUCAACAUUUGGUAAUUAGCUUUUUCAUCAAUCAAAAGUUACCCUUUUUUGCUUUCUAAUGUGGAAAUGGAAAUCAUAAAACGUAUGCGUCUCUUGCAAACAAACAGCAAUAAUUUUGUUGUACCAUUAGCUUUGCCAACAGAAGAGACACACAGACACAUGGUUCUUCUGUUCAUGUUUGAGUUGAGAUUGAUGUAAGGCCAACCUCAUGCAAACGUUAUCAUAACUCGGGGCAAAAAAAAAAAGGGAAGAAGAGAAUCGUAAAGCUUUGUGUUUUACUUGCCUGAAUAAUUUGGUAAAGCUUUCAAGUUGAUUUUGCCCUUUUGUCUGCAUGCACAGAUAGUGAGCCUCCUCUUUUCUCGCGGGUGACAAGCCCCAUCAUAUCUUCUACAACAAUGUCUUUACCUAACCAAUUUACUGUGCAUGUUCCCCUCCUGAAACUAUCUGUUGUGUAUUAGGGCUUCAGCUAUGCACUCUCUAAGAUUCUGUGUCUUAUGUUAUCACUCCGUGACUUUAAACUAUUGAUUAGGUUGAUUGAUAGGGUUUAUAUAUUGAUUAUGUUGAUUCUUGUUUGAAUGUGUAUUUCGAAUUCAUAGUUUAUCAAAAAUAAAUAAAAUCAUAUGCACUGUAAUCAAGCUUAUUGAUCGGGUAGGUUAAUACUCGUCUAAACCUAGAAUUCAGACUCACAAUUGACCAAUUGUGGGACAAGAACAUUAUGUACCCUAGAAUUAUAAUAGAAGUAGGUAGCAAUUAACUUGGAAGGCUUAAAAACAUUUGCAUUGGGGGAACAGAUAAGUAAAAGCGUUGUGUCUAUCAGUGUGACGUUUAUCGAGUAAGAAUUGAAGUUGAAGGAGAUGGCAAUUGGGUGAGGAUUAAAUAAAGAACAGGGUAGGUGGUCCAGGUGGAUGUUAUAACAUUCAGUAUAGGUUAGGUGGCAUACGUUGAAUGCUGAGAUUAAACCAAAGUUGAUAAGUUAGAGGCUCAAUUUAAAUACAGUGCCACUAUGCCAGACACCAGUCAUGAUACUUGUUCCCGACCUAAAAAAUCAGCACUACUGUGUACAUUUACUCGAAAAGAGAAAGGAAAAUAAAACCCACACCAGAAUUUACAAAAUUUUUGAAUAGUUUUUCUAAGCAGUUUUGUAUGCCAUUAUACAUAUAGAGGAGACUCGAACUCGUAAUCUCUUAUAAUAUUAAAAGAAAUUUAUUAGACUAAGAGCUAGUUGAUCCGAGUUUUUAAGUUAUUUUAAGUUAUUUCUUUCACUGUUCAAACAUCAAAACAUUUAUCCAAAGGUUUUUUUGUAAGUUUAUGCAUUCCAAUUUGGAUUCUGGCAGCAGCCAACUUGGAAAAUGUUCAGCACAUGUGACGUGCCUUUGUGUUCAAUCAAUUUCUACUUCCGGUCUACUCGAAGUCCCAAAAGCUUCUUGGUGGUUUCAAAUCAUCUUCCUGGAAUUUUACCCAUUAUUCAAGCUUUGAGGCAAUCUAUCAACAUCAGACAAAACCUUUAACAUAUCCAAUUUACAAAGAGACACCACUCGCACAGCCUUUUAUUUUUUAUAUUUUUUUUAUAAAAAAAUUACAAAAAUAUUUGCUUGGGCGGAACAUGCAUGUACAUUGUACUGUGUACAGUACGGUUUAUAAAUGUGCUGCCAAGUCCCAGAUUUACCACCAAACAAAUUAAAAUUUAUUUUAAUUUCCUUCACCAACCCUUGCAAUUUAAAUUUGAAUUUUUAUUCUUCUGUAUAUAUAUAUAUAUAUAUAUUUUAUCAAAAUAAAACCUUGACUUUGAAUUUCAAAUUUGACUAUCGACAGGUACAAAUCAAGUUGGUGGAACCUUAUUGCAAACCCAACAACUUAUACAAUGCGAAUUCACAAACAUCUGGGUGUCCAGAAAGACAAGCAAAUAACGGCAUUGCAUUCACCAUCCCCAAUAACUUCAAAACCAUCCAAUUACAAUCAUUUAAGAAAGUCCAAGAAGCUAAGAACACUUUAUAUAUGUUGGGUUGAUUCCCUUUUAACUGCCACAUAAUGUAGUUUUAAUAUGUUGUGUUCUUAAAUUAUCAAUAUAAAUUACGCAAAUUUCUUAUUUAAUUAUAUUAUUUGAUAACGUUAUGAUAGAUGCACAUAAAUGUACUUCAGGCGAAACACUCUCAUGCAAUUGAGAUAAUAUUUUUUGAUAUAUUCGAUUAAUAACACAAGAGCAAGUGGAUUAACUUUUUUUAUGUAUUAUUACGUUAUUAAUCAAAAAUAAUAAAAUAGUAUUAUCUUCGUCACAAUAAAGAUUUUUUUAUUACCGAAUAGCAGGUAUGCUCGACAAAGUGUGUGUCAUACUUGUCGAAUUGUCAGGGGGGGGAAACUCUGGCGCGCACGGGGUUAAAAUGUCCUGGGUUUGGCAGCAAAAGCAAAGGCCUCGUGUGGGCCACCCCCAGGAAGAGUAGGACCCAAAGAACAGCUAGACCAUUUUACCAUGGCCGGUGUCUGAGUACCCGCUUUGUGGCCUAAACUCAUCCACUUUUGGGGAAAAGAAAACGACGGUGAUUAAUGAAGAAUGCCAAGAAAUUGGUGGGGGAGCGUGCCAAAAUUAAACAGUAGAAGAAAGUUGUAGACAAAAAUGGAAAAUUUUGGAACUACCCCAAUAUAUUUUACACUAUUUAUGGUUUGGUGUAAUUUUAUUCGUUCCAUUCUUAUUUAAUCCUUCCCCUUCUGCAUCUCACUAACCUUCUCCAAUGGAACAAAAUCUGUCUCCCUUAGAUGUAGAGUUGUAAAUUUACAUGCUUAUCCCUUGAUAGUUUGGGCUUUUCUUUUUCCCAAACUUUUUUUUUCCUUACUAUCUACCCAGCAAUUUUACACAAUUGUUUGUUGCACGGGAAAAGUUUCCUUAUAUAAAUAUGUAUUUGAUUUUGUUCAUUUUUUUCAUUCGAGACGUGGAGUUUCAAAACAGACUUGCUUAUUGUAAAUGCGAGAUAAUUGCUAUAUGACUAAAAGUUAUGAGGUCCUACAGUUUCACUUAUAUUUUGACAAACACAUAAUACAACUAACUAUGAAUUACGUGUAUUUAUUAUGUAAUUUGAGUAGCAUUUCUACGCAUGAAUAUUAGAAUUCAGACGUUCAAAUUCACAAUUUGUUUUAUGUUCCAAAAAACUCACUUUAUAUGUUAUUUGCGAGUUCAGGAGAAGUGUACGUAUUAUUAAAUACAUUAAUAAUAUUUAUAAGAAAUUAAAAAGAAGGUGGAAGUGGAGAGUUUGAAAAUAAGCGUAAAAGUAAGUAAGGGUCAUUUUGCAAAUCCCAUGACCCAAAAAUUGGGAAGUUUGAAAAUUCCCUCCUUGAAGAACCGUUGAAAACUUGUAAGUAACAUUGUCUUGACUGUUGUGUGUGGAGAGAGCACAUAUUCCCAAAAGCUUGGACAUUGGGCAGCACAGAAAGGUCAAUUGGAGUUUCCAUUUUCUACCGCUGGUUCUUCAAGUCAUGCAAACUGUUCCUCUGCCUCUGGCCCUGUGAUGAAAUCUCCACCGAAUCUUGGGCGUCAGAUUGAUCGGAUGGUUUGGUAAGCUACUGUAAUAGAUACGAUUUUUGCCUGCUUUGUAGUCUUACCCUUUUGGACACUACCAAUGGCUAAGCAUAAUAACGAAUAUACGGACUGAUCUCCACCGUGCACGGCACCUAACCCCAACAAAAUCUUCCUUUCUAGACUGAUUUCUUAACCCCUACCUAAACCCUUUUUUUCUGUGGUCAAAUUUAGCAAUAAAUUUGGACGUUAAACUAUAAUUAAUUAAAACCAACUUUCAACUUUGCCAUUGGUAAUUGCACUUCAAUCCCAAAUUUCUUGCGUUGUUAAUUGGUUUUCCUAAAACAUGCCCUUUAUUAUAUUUUUAAUGGAAGUUUGAAAAAUGAGGACAUAUACAUUGGGGACACCAUAUCUCAACUCUGGGAGAAAAACUUACUUAUUUCUUGUUUCAUAUAUAUUUCUCCACGUCUAUCAUCUUAUGAUGUGCAAUAGGAGAGAUGAGAAAAAAAAGGCUAUAAAACAUGUUACAUGGAAGUUUUACUCAACUCGAAAGUAGUAUAUGAUAAAAACAUAUAAUCCGACAAGAUAUAUGUGUGUAAAACGUUCUUCUUUUUUUUUUUAAGUGCCCAAGUAAAAAUAUUAACAAAUAAAGUGAAUGUGAUCCCGAGUUCUCUCUAGCUACGAGAGAGAGGGAAGCCAAUUCCAUGACGCUUGGUGGGGAACAGGACAAACAACAAGCUGCACACAACAGCAAUUCCGACAGGGAACGCCGCUAAAAGCUGCUUGCCCUCCUCCGACGGCUUGGGGUAGAAACAGUUGACAAUAUUCUGAUCAACCAAAGCCAGUGCAGCAAAUACAAAUAUGGACAUCAAGGCAUGGAAGAAAUCAAUGAAUCUCAGCCUGUACUUGGCCACCUCCUCCGGUGCAAUGGGGACUUUCGACCCGUCGAUGACCCACAACCCUUUAAAAGUCGCCAACCCGUAUCGAACCUUGCCCCGUUCGUCCCUCAAGCUGUCGGUGAAGCACAAGAGGAAGCAGGUAAGGCUGCAGACUAUUAGAAGUCCUAGCGUCAUGGUUUUGUUGAUGGGGGUAGGGCACUGCCCUUGGCGUGUGAAACCCGGGGAGAACAUUUGGAAAACGAGGACCGUUCCGGUGGGAAGAAGAUUUGACAGAUGGGCUGUGCCUUUAAAGGUCUUUCUAAUGGCCUUUUGUGCAGGGGUUUUUGGCGGUUUUGGCGCAAUUGAUGCUGCAUUAUUUUCCAACAGUGGUUGCUCAUAUGUUUCUUGAAGUGCAGGUGCAGCCAUGUAGAUAUAUAUAUAUAUAUAUAUGUAUGUAUGUAUAUAUGAGUUCUAUUUCUGUAUGAGAUUGGCUCAAGAUUGAUUCUUCAUUAGCUAGGGUUUGUGUGUUCUUCUUAAACUUUGAUUCACCGUGUGCUUUGUUAUUAUGGAAGAUUGGAAUAUAUAUGGUUAAGGAAAAUUUGUUUUUCUGUUUGGUGUUAGCGAGCAAAUGGUUAAUUUUUAGAGAUGGAUGGAUGAAGUGUUGAUCAACUGCUCUUUUUCAUAACUCUGGCCUUCUAGUAACUGUUGUACAAAUUAAUUUUCGUUAGGGAGUUUCAUUUGAUUGGUUGUUGUGGGAUCUAGGUAGGAAGGGUUAGGGUUAGGGUUUACUGAGAUUGAAUGGACGGGAUGGAGUAUGAAUUACGUUCGCAUUACUAAAUGAACAUGGAAAACAAAUUUAAUUUAUACCAGCCUAAUGCUUCAUGGUACUUAUUUUUUAUAAUUAAGUAAAAUAUGUAUCCAUUCUACAUAAAUGAAUAAUAAAAAAACACACACACAUUUGAAUUAACAAUAAUGUCUUACCACAUUUUAUGCCAUAGUUCUUUUUGAGAAAAAAACGAUAGUUAUUAUUGAUGAAACAUAUCAAAGUGCAAAGUCAUAAAAGAGUUUGAUCUGGAGAGAAUUAAGCCUAAACCAACAAAUACUCAACCCUUGAUUCAACAUCUAGAAGGACUCUUACUCAGACUAACAAUACAUCUUCACCGUGCAACGACAAAAAUGGCAUACCUGUAUUGCAGCCGAAAACUAUAAUGCAAAGCACAACAAACUCUUAAAGAGUUCAUGAAAAUUAAAAUAAAAAAUGCAGCAAACUCCUAAAGAAUAAUAGAAUUAAAACAAGAAACAUGAACAAGCAACAUGCCAUUGUUCUAUUUGGCUGAGAUGGCGAGAUCACAUAACCUAUAGUUAUGUUGUUUCAUGCCUUCAAUUAAUCAGUUCUGAUUUCUUGAACUACAGAGAUCCAAGAAAUUUGUGGUUACUCACUGUUGAAUUUGUUCACUAACUCUUGCACUUUUUAUAAGAAAUUUUUUUGAAUCAUUGGAUUAAUAUCCAAUGGUAAGUGACCACAAUCAGGAUUGUCAAUUAAUAGCUGAAAAUGUAUUUUUAAUAUUAAAAUAAUAAUAAUAAUAAUAAUAAAGAAAGAGGUUUCUCACACACACGUUAUAAAAUGUCAUGGAAAUUCGAAUAUGAAACCUUAAUCUACAAGUUCAUGCCUUUUCCGCUAGUUAGAUUCUGUUUGUAUUAUACCUUGUGAUUUGUUUGCCAUGAGUGAACCCUUAAAUUAUUAUAGAGGGGCAACGACUUUGUUUUUUUUAUUGAACAAGAAGAACAAAGAUUGAUAUGGGUCUAGAAAAAGGAAAAAGAAAUAAUUUUAACAUAAAUGAGAUGAAGUGAGUUGGGCUUAUCCUCACUAUGGGAAUGUCGUUUUCUCUCAUGUACUACAAACUGACGGUCGGCUUUUCUUUGCAAAGCCAAGCCUCCGCCCGCCACGGUGGCUGCCUCCAUCCAUAAACCGUCAGCCAAGACGACCACGAACUGCAAGCCUCAAGCGUUAGAAACCUGACUGAGAAAAUCCAAGUAGAGACUCCAGAUCCGAAGCGUUAACCCAGACACACCACCAACCACACCCUGAUCACGCUAAUCUUGUGCGAGCUUCCUCUUUUCAGACUUGCAGUGUUAAAUUUAAAAAUUUUUUUUAAAAAAACAAAGAUUCAAAAAACGUGAAUUUUCGUAACUGCAUGUCUCAUUCUACUAAUUAAACUGUAUUAGUCUAAUCCAGGGCCAUUAAUCUCAGACCUCCAACACCGUCAAUCCCCAUCGCACCUCGGAGAGACCGACGUGGUCGACCUCCACCUCCAGAUUUAUAGCCGUUGACCGUUCAACCUUAUCACUAAUAUCAUUCGGAACGUACUUAAAUAUUUUAUUAUUUUCUUUAAAUGAAUAAUAAGUUUUGUAUUUUGCAUACAAAUUCAUAUUUUUUUUAGUGAGUUCUUAUGUUACAUUGUUAUAAUAAAAAUCUUGGUUAGGGGCAAUGACGCACCUCCUCUCCUUGGAUUUAAGUUCGAAUUCGAACUUACGUUGUUAUAAAUUAGAUUAAUUAGAUCAAUAAAAAGAAAAUCUCACAUAUUUAUUUGUAGAAAUUAUGCAAAAUUAUUUUGUCUCUAAAAGUUAGAAAAAGAAAAGAGAAAGUUGGAGAUGAAUUAUGUUUUACUACACAAGAAAACAUUUUUCAUAAAAUGUUUCAUAGACAAGAAGAAAGUAAAAAUGUAGUCAUCAAUUGAGAGCCUUCCGUCAUAAUUUUUCUACCAAGUUCCCAACACAAUCAAUUACUUUUCCCUCUUUACUCAAAAACCACUUCACAUAUAUGAACACACCCACCCAAUAUUCACCCCACAAACACAAACACAAACACAAACAGAAACACACACCCUUCCCUCCUCCGCCUCGCUCCUCACUCCCAUUUCUUUCUAGAAGCAAACAACAGCACCGAAAAUGCUUCUCUUCCUCCCUCUCCUUCUGUCCCUCCUCUUCCCCCCACUCCCAACCCUCUCUGUCAACCAAGAAGGCCUCUACCUCCAGCACUUCAAAAACUCCCUAGACGACCCAGACUCCACCCUCUCUUCAUGGAACGACCACGACGUCACGCCGUGCUCCUGGUCUGGCGUCAAAUGCGACGCCACCUCCAACGUCGUUCACUCCAUCGACCUCUCCAGCAAAAACCUCGCCGGCCCUUUCCCCACCGUCCUCUGCCGCCUCCCCAACCUCACCUUCCUCUCUCUCUACAACAACUCCAUCAACUCCACCCUCCCCCCCUCCCUCUCCACGUGUCAGCAUCUCGAGCACCUCGACCUCGCUCAGAACCUCCUCACCGGUGCCCUCCCCAGCACCCUACCAGACCUCCCCAACCUCAAGUACCUCGACCUCACCGGCAACAAUUUCUCCGGAGAAAUUCCCGACACUUUCGGCCGCUUCCAAAAACUCGAGGUCCUCUCUCUGGUCUAUAAUCUCUUCGACAGCACCAUCCCGCCGUUCCUCGGCAACAUUUCCACCCUCAAAAUGCUCAACCUCUCUUACAACCCGUUUCAUCCGGGUCGGAUCCCGCAGGAGCUCGGCAACUUGACGAACCUCGAGGUCCUCUGGCUCACCGAGUGUAACUUACUCGGCGAGAUUCCCGACUCGCUGGGUCGCCUCAAGAAGCUCACCGAUUUGGACCUGGCCAUCAACGACUUGAACGGCACGAUUCCGGCUUCGCUCAGUGAGCUGACCAGCGUUGUUCAGAUUGAGCUCUACAACAACUCGUUGACCGGAGAGUUGCCUCCCGGAAUGUCGAACUUGACCCGGCUGAGGCUGCUCGACGCGUCCAUGAACCAGCUGAGUGGGCAGAUUCCGGACGAGUUGUGUCGGUUGCAGCUCGAAAGUCUCAACCUUUACGAGAACAAUUUCGACGGGAGCUUGCCCGAGAGCAUUGCGAACUCGCCCAAUUUGUACGAGCUUAGACUCUUCCGAAACAAACUCACCGGCGAGUUGCCCCAAAAUCUCGGGAAAAACUCGCCGCUGAAAUGGCUUGAUGUUUCGAGUAACCAGUUCUCGGGUAGCAUCCCGCCGACUCUUUGCGAGAAGGGACAAACAGAAGAGAUUCUGAUGAUACACAAUUAUUUUUCCGGCGAGAUUCCGGCAAGUUUGGGUGAGUGUCAUAGCUUGACCCGGGUCCGAUUGGGUCACAAUCGGUUAAAUGGGGAAGUUCCUGUGGGUUUUUGGGGGCUGCCUCACGUGUAUUUGAUGGAGCUCGUUGAGAAUGAGCUUUCUGGGCCGAUAGCGAAGACCAUUGCCGGAGCGGCGAACCUCUCGCUUUUAAUUAUAGCGAAGAACAAGUUCACGGGUUCGAUACCGGAGGAGAUUGGAGGGGUCGAGAGUCUUAUGGCGUUUUCUGGUGCCGACAAUGGGUUCAGUGGGCCUUUGCCACAGAGCAUAGUGAGACUUGGGCAGCUUGGAACUCUGGACCUCCACAAUAACGAACUGUCUGGUGAGCUCCCAAAUGGGAUCCAAUCUUGGACGAAGCUCAACGAGCUCAAUUUGGCAAAUAACCAGCUUUCUGGGAAAAUCGCAGAUGGGAUUGGGAACUUAACGGGGCUUAAUUACCUUGAUCUUUCCGGGAAUCGACUUUCCGGGAGAAUCCCAGUUGGGUUGCAGAAUAUGAGACUCAAUGUGUUCAAUUUGUCCAACAAUCGGCUUUCGGGUGAGCUCCCGCCUCUUUUUGCUAAGGAAAUUUACAAAAAUAGCUUUUUGGGAAACCCUGGUCUUUGUGGAGAUUUGGAAGGGUUAUGUGAUUGCAGAGCCGAGGUGAAAAGCCAGGGGUAUAUAUGGUUGCUGAGGUGCAUCUUCAUUCUAGCUGGUUUAGUCUUUGUUGUGGGUGUGGUUUGGUUUUACUUGAAGUACAAGAACUUCAAAAAGGCUAACAGAGCUAUCGACAAGUCGAAAUGGACAUUGAUGUCGUUUCACAAACUGGGCUUUAGUGAGUAUGAGAUAUUGGAUUGCCUUGAUGAAGAUAAUGUGAUUGGCACUGGGGCAUCUGGUAAAGUGUACAAGGUUGUUCUAACCAGUGGAGAGGUUGUUGCGGUGAAGAAGCUAUGGAGAGGGAAAGUAAAGGAGUGCGAGAAUGACGAUGUUGAGAAAGGUUGGGUCCAAGACGAUGGCUUUGAGGCAGAGGUUGACACUUUGGGGAGGAUUAGGCACAAAAACAUUGUGAAGCUUUGGUGUUGUUGCACUGCUAGGGACUGCAAGCUCUUGGUUUACGAGUACAUGCCAAAUGGUAGUCUUGGUGAUUUGCUGCAUAGCAGUAAAGGAGGGUUGCUGGAUUGGCCUACAAGGUAUAAGAUAGGUCUUGAUGCUGCGGAGGGGCUUUCUUAUCUGCACCAUGAUUGUGCUCCUGCAAUUGUUCAUAGAGAUGUGAAAUCAAACAACAUCUUGUUGGAUGGAGAUUUCGGAGCACGAGUGGCGGAUUUUGGAGUAGCCAGGGUGGUUGAUGCAACUGGGAAAGGACCUAAAUCUAUGUCGGUCAUUGCAGGUUCUUGUGGUUACAUUGCUCCAGGUCAGUGAGUAAAUUUCUAUUCAAAUUGCAGAUAAAAUUCCCUCGAAUUUAUGUUGUAUUCAUGUUCUUGUAGAAAGUUUAGAUUUUGAUGCUGAAAUUUGAUUGUGUUGUGCUCCAUCAUUCUUGAAGAGGAAUGUGCGGUGCACGAUAUUUGUUCAAAACUCUUGCCAAUAUCUCUCCAAUUACUUUCAUAUUGUCUAGUUAAAAAUAUUAUUCUAGUAUUCUAAUCCUGUAAAUGUAAUCUUGCUGCAGAGUAUGCUUACACCCUCAGAGUGAAUGAGAAGAGUGAUAUCUACAGUUUCGGUGUGGUUAUUCUGGAAUUGGUUACUGGAAGACUCCCAGUUGAUCCAGAGUUUGGAGAAAAGGACUUGGUGAAGUGGGUCUGCACCACUUUGGAUCAGAAAGGAGUGGACCAUGUAAUUGACCCCAAAAUUGAGUCUUGUUAUAAGGAAGAAGUUUGCAAGGUCCUCAAUAUUGGCCUCCUCUGCACCAGUCCUCUCCCAAUUAAUCGUCCAUCUAUGAGAAGAGUUGUGAAAUUGCUGCAAGAAGUGGGCACAGAGAAACAUCCCCAGACUGCCAAAAAAGAGGGGAAAUUGUCACCCUACUACUAUGAAGAUACCUCAGAUCAUGGAAGUGUAGCUUGAGAAGUUUCAUAUAUGGCCUGUUGCAAAGCAAUGGUUAUGGGGGAAGUUUUAUAUCUAAGCUUUAUUUUAUCAGUUUUUGAAGCUUUUUUGAAAGCUAACUUCCCAAAUCGUUUUCACCCCCUCUUGGGUUUUGAUCUCAUAGCAAGCAAGGAGGGAAGAGAAUAUUGAGAGGAAUUUCUUUUUGAGAAAGGGGAAAGUUAUGAGGGGGGGUGGGGUUAAUAUUCUAUACUGUAAAAAUUGAUUAACCACCAAAGUUUUUCAUCUGCUAAGUUUAAGUAGCUACCUGCAAGUUGCAAUGGCAGACCUCCUUGACAGUGAUGUAUACACUGUUUAGUGAUUGUGAUUUGUCUCUGAAAUCUCACUCGGGAUGUAUGAAAUGAAAUGGGAAUUCUGGCAUUUAUGAGCAACCCUUGUAGCUAGUUAUAUACUUUUAUGAAUUGUGACAAUGUUUUGCGAUUGUACACCUGGUUUGGUUUGCUGUGUGAGCCUAAGACAAUGUUCCAGAUUUAAAUGUUUUUUACUAUUCUCUGCAGUGACUUUUUUUAAUUUAAAAAACCUCCUUUAUUAUUUGAUUAUUUUGAUUCAUUCAUAUAAGCAGAGGACAGCAAUAAGCCUGUCUAUUAGUAUUAAUAAGGUAGUUAGGUAAGAGUUGGCCCUCCUUCCUGGGUCCAAUUCCAACUAAGUGAAAAGUGACCCUUGUCUGUGCUGCCUCUCAUUUUGCUGUGCUUGACUCUAAUAGGAAAAUGACUUAGGAGGACAUAACACAGACAGAGAGAGAGAGAGAGAGAGAGAGAACU
rnacentral:lncRNA from 1 species